UCCCAAGAAAAUAAACGUGUGAAUUGGGUGGAAAGUUAUAAUACUGUGGUUAUUAGCUAUAUGAUUUUCUUUCCGGAAGGUGACAAGAGAAGCUUGGAAAAAAACCUAAAAAUUACUAUUAACCUAUGUUUUCUAGUUAUGAUUAAAAAAUUUAGUUAAAAUAUAUACAAGAGAUUAAAAAAGAAAAAUAUUUUAUUAUGGCUUUUAUUAUUGUCAAAUGUAAAUCAUAUCCCGCAUCUUCAAACAUGCAUUGUGGUCAUCUUAAUCAUUCAUGCUCAAGUUAGAAUGAUGACAAAUUCUCAAAGUUUAGCUUUUCGAAUGUUUUUAAUAGGAAGGCAUUUGUUGAAAAACCAAAACAAGUAGACAAGUUCAAAAAGAUCAUAAAAGAAAUGAAAAGGGAAUUGAAAGUGAAAACCAAAGUCUAAAUUGAAUACUUAUUGGAAUUAUGUUUUGAUUAGAGUGUGAAUGCACUAAACUUAAAGUAGAACGGUCAAUGUGAGUUCAAAUAUAGACCACUUAAUGUUCCUAUUUCUUUCCAAUGUGGGGUAGGGAAAUUACGCAUACCUUCUUCCAAUAAUCUCUAUAGAGUGCAUGAAUAAAGGAAAGAACAAAUGAUAAUUGAAGAAACAUGAGAAUCCAAUGCAUUAGAAUUGGUGCCCAUAAGUUAUGAAUUAGCCUUAUCGUAAAUUAACUGAGUCAUAAAAACCUGGUGAAAUUAAAUUUUUUAUAAACCAAAAUUUCUUUAUGUGAUACAAGGAACCUAAUAUCCACAUUAGUUUCUUAACUCAAAGUUGUAAGCAUCGGGUUGAUACAAACAAGUCAUGCACCAUACUUGGAUAUUAAUGAAAGCUCUAGAGAACUUGUUUGUGUUCUCAUGGGAAGUGGCCCCAUUUUCACUCCCAUAUAGAUGAAUUUGUUGAGUAUGCCAUCCAUAAGGGAUAUAAUAUUCAUUAAGAGUAUUUCAUCCUCAAUCAUUAUAGAAACUCUUGUAUUUACAACUUAGAGAUGAUAUCUCAUACAUAAGAACACCUAAUAGUCAACAAGUGUCUUAUUAUUACCUAUAUGAACCUAUUUCCUGAGAUUUUCAUUCUAGUAGGUUGGGUUACUAUCACAUUUGACUUUUGUAUUAGGCAUAAAUCUCAUCCCCUUAAUGUUUUCUCUAUUAAUUUUUUAUUUAGUGGUUCAAUUAAAGGAUUGACUUGAUUCAACUUUGAUUUAACAAAAUUAAGGGUUAUUUCCUCUAAUUCAAGUAGCCACUACACAAUAUUGUGCCUUAGGCAUUUAUGCUAGUACUUUUCAUUGAAUAUUUAUUUGGAUUGAGCUCAUAAAAGUAAGACAUGAUGUAACAACGUUAAACUUGACUGUCCUCUUAUUAUCUCAUUUAUGCAUUAAUAUUGAUUUGGACAUUCAACCCACAUCACUUGCAUUGUACGUGAUUUGAGUACAUUAUAAGUUACACAUAAGAUACAAGUUAUGAAUUCCUUGUAAGAUAAUAAUUUGCUUACAGUUGAUUAAUGAAUUUGGGUAAUUCAAUCGAGAUUAUAGUAAACUACCCUAUAUUUAGAGGGAUGAGUUAUCUUGGUCAUCGAAAUGCGGUUCCUAUAAACCCUCUAUUUUGUCAUCUUGUCACAUUCCAUUUAGGAUUGAUUUCUACACCCUUUGUUGCCUUAUUGUACACUUAUGUUCAUUUUCUGAGUUGUUUUUGAGCUCUCAUCGGUGGUCCACUAUAAACAUGUCAAUCACUAGUUUUUUGGAUUUUCUAUGAGAGACAUUUUGAAGACAUUAAGUGGAUCCCAAUCUUGAUUUUAGUGACCUUUAAUUCUUAGUUUAGGAUUUUGUUUUUGAUUGAUUUACAACACAUUUAGGUUUGUUUAGAAUUUUAAAACCUUAAAGUCAUAAGAUAAAUUCAUGAUUUGAAUUAAUUGAUAAUUGAUUUCAUUUUCUUUAAAGAUGUAAAAUGAAGAUUUGGUAUUUGAAACAAGAAAGGAUAUUUUGUGAAUAUAAUUUACUUUGAUUCAAUUUUUUUAUUAACAUUAUUUUAUAAAUAUUAAUUAUAUUUAUUAAAUGGGCAAAUUAAAAUUUAAUGACUAUUGAACAUAUUGUUUUUUAUGUACUUUGAGUUUAUUAAUAUACCAAAACAAUUAUCGUUUUUAUGCUUCAUGAACCAAAAAUAAAAUAAAAUAAAAUAAAAUAAAAUUUGAGUUUAUUAUAGCCACCUAAUUCACGUCUUAAAAUAUAAAAUAAAAUGAGUUGUUCCUUUUUAAUAAUAAACAUGCUAAAAUAAUAAUCAUUUUUAGUAUAUUAUGAAUCAUAAAUAAAGUCUAUAUGCUAUUAAAAUUCACACUUUUGAAAACAUGAAAUAGAUUAUACAACUCAUAUGAUUUCAUAAAAAAAUCAUAUACUCAACAUUUACAUAAUCUAAAACACACCAAUCAUAGCUCAACUAACUUAUGCACCAACUAUCCCUAACUUUUCCAUUUUUUUUUUAUUAUUAAACAUAACUCUAACAUCCUUGCAGUUGCCUUCACCAACCACCCCAUCCUCCUAGUGUAGCCUACCUUUUGGUUGCAUAAAGACCACUUCACCACAAUUGGAUAAGUUGUCCUUGGUAGCCCUCACAUCAAGCCUUAUACCCUAGUCUUUGGUAGUUGUCCCUAGUUGUCCUUAAGAGUCAUUUGCCAACCUAUAACCUAGCCAUAAGACAACUCAUCCCAUAGUUGCCAUAACCUAUGUCCUAUAGCUUGAUACAUCACUAUCACAACCAGCCUCUAUCAAGAGCAAUGUUUUCAGAAUCGAAUCGAUCAUUGAAUUGAAAAAGUUACUAGUUCACGGUUUACUAAUUGGACCGACGGUCGAACUGCGAUUGGACCGACGGUCGAAUCGCGAUCGAACCGAUGAUGUCAUAAAUAUACAUAUUUUUUAUAUUAUUAAAAUUAAAAAUAAUUUUGAAAAAUAAAAAUAGUAAAUUAUGAGUGACACAUUGUUUUCAUAAUUUUUUUUAAAUCAUAAUAUUUUGAUUAUUUUAAAUUUAAAUUUUAAAUUUUAAAAAUCAUAAAAUUUAAAAAAUUACAAUUGUAAAAUUAAAAUAAAUAAUAAUGGAAAUAAACUAAUAAAGUAAAUAAAAAUAUAAAAUAUAAAAAAUCUAAAAAUUUGAAUGAAAGACUCAUAAUAUUGUGUUUUUAUAUUUAAAUAUUAUUUCUUUGUGUUAAUAUGAUACUAAAAAAGAAAGACUUUUCUAUAUAUAUAUAAUUGGUAUUCUUAAUCAAUAACAUACUUAUAUGUAUAUAAUUGAUAUUUUAAAUUUUUUUACUUUAAGGCAAUGAAAAGAUCAAGAUUUUUUGACACAUUUAAUGACCAAAUAUAAAAUUCAUGAAAUUAUAGCAAAAAAUUUAGUCAUAAACUUUGACAUUUCUACAUUAAAAAUUUGAAAUUUCAAAAGUCUAAAUUAUUGUUUAUGGAAAGUUUAAAUGUUAUAGUUUAUUUAUUAAAUUAUUGUUUAUGACAAAUUGACAACUUUCAAUAUUACAGGUUAUUGAAAUCAUGAAUUAAUGUCGUUUUUAGAUCUCUGUUUUGUGAAUUCAUAAUAGGUAAUGAUGAGAUUAGAAAUCAUUUUAUGUGUCAAUUAUUAUGAAUCUAAGUAAUUUUCAAACCUAGAUUUUUCACUUAGAAAUUGCCAAUUUAAUAUCAUUUUUAUCAUUUCCUAUAUUUGAUUAGUGAUUUAUUUAAAAUUUCCAUAAAUUUGAUUUAAUUCAAUGUACCAAAAAUUUUUAUCCAUGACUUUGAAUGAACUUAGUUAAUCUAAAUCUUUACUUUCAUAAUUUUCUUCAAAUUCUUAUAAACUGUGAUAUUAAAGUAAUUUUUCCAGAAUUUAAAAUCAUUAUUUUAUCUUAAUUUUUUUUAUAUAACAUUCUGAUUGAUUUAAUAUAUAAAUGAGAUUGCAUUCUUCUCUUUCAAUUUUAAUUGUCAUAAAUUGAUCUUAGUAUUUUAGAGAAUUCAAAAUUUGGAUUCCUUUGUUUCAUUAUAUUAAGAUAAUCUAAUUAUUACAUGCAUUUGAUUAAUAACGCACUUGAAAUUUCUAUGUUAAUUUAAAAUAUUAGAUUUUGGUUUUAUAGGAUUAAAAGAAAUUGGUCACAUGCUUGAAAUCUAAAUUAAAGAAUAUAUGUUGUCGUUCACAAAUGCAUAAUAUAGUGAUUAAAUUUUAAAUAAAGUAAUGUGCAUAAUUAGCCAUGAGUGAAAUGAUGUCAUGCUCAAAAUUUUUUUAUUGAGACAUUGAUAUAUCCAACUUCUUGUAGAAAAGAUUUUUAUUAAUCUUUAAAAUGGAUGAUAAGAUUAAUGCAGCUGUUGAUUGGAGCCUUGUUGAUAUGUAAUGUAAUGACUUAUUUAUUUAUUUUUAUGAUUAGUGUUGGCGUUUUAGCUAGAAAUAAAAUAUCCAAUUCCCUAACUCUAAUUUUUAUUACCAAUAUUUUCUUUCUAUUCACUUCUUAUCAUUUUGGUGAUUCUUGCAUAUGUAUUAGUUUAGGUUGGGUGUGGACAAAUUGGGUUACACGAGUGUUGUUAGAAUUGACACAUAGGAAGUUGUAUGAUUGAAUGUUGACUGCUUGAUAAAUUAUGAUUGGGAUUGAAUUAAUUUUUUUCUUCAAUUUUUUUUAUUAUCUAAAUAAGCCAUUGGGUAAUUAUAUGAAAAUUGGCUUUUGAUUUUGAUUCUUGAAAACUUGAUUUAUCUUUUUUUUUUUCUAAGUGAUGGGCACAUGCACUCUUACAAACUUUUUAUUUUUAUUUUUUAUUUUUAAAUUUUAUUUUUUAUGAUCCAAGUUUAAAAGUCUAUAUGAAUUAAUAUUUUUAUAAAAUUGUUUUUAUAUCUCUUUCAUAAAAGAAUCAAUCCUAAAACUCAUAUUUAAAAUUCAUCUUAGUCCCUUUAAGUAUGAAACUCAUUUUCCAAAAAGACAAUGUUGUCUAUUUUAUUCGGUAUGUAACUUUGAAAAGGGUUUAAAAGGAAUUUUGGUUUUGAAUACACAUGAAUUAAAAUUCAUAGUUCCAAUCAAUAGUCUUAAUGGAUGAAUUCAUUGAAAUUAAAAUGGGAUUUAAUAGAUGCCUAUAUACAAAAUUUUCCAAAACAUGGAUCUCUAUUGACACUAUUGACAGCUCACUAUACUUCUGAAUUGGUAAAUUGGAAUAUGACCAUUUAUAAACACUGUGAAAAAUUUCCAAUUAUUCCAUAGUGUUGUAAAAUUCUUGAAUUUGUUUUUAGAUUUUUUUUUGAGUAAAAAAUAAUUUCCUAAUUAGAAGAUAUAAAUCAAUCUUUCAGAAGGUUCAAUUUUUAUUCUGUUUUUUACACUCAGUUUUGUUUUGCAAAAUUAAAUUACUAAAAAAAUUCUUUGUACAUUUUUCGCUAAAUCUAGACUUCCUAAAUUUAAUUAUUGACACAAAAAUAUUAAGAAAUGAUUUCUAAAAUCAGAGAUAUAAUUUUUUUUUUCUUCUUGCACCCAUUGCACAAGUGUUCUUCUAGAGCUGAGAGAUGUUUAUUUAUUUUUAAAUAUGUUAUGAAUGUGAUAUUAUCCUGUGAUUAUUUCUUAUUCAAAGCAUACAUGUUAAUCUAGUUGUGUGAAUUUUUGUAUGAUUUCAAGACAUCUCUAAGUUAAUUAAAAAAAAUCAAUUGUUGAAUACCUAAAAAAGAUACUAUGUUCUAGACCUAUUAACAUCAUUACAAAAUUUGGUACUAAAUGAGAGCUAGUUAAUUAAUUUGAUCACUUGAAUGAUGAACUGGACAUAUAGGAUAUGUUUUUUUUUUUUUUUUGAAAAUUUUCAUGAUAAAACUUAACUUCUAGAUAUUUGUUUUUGAUUUCUUUUGUAAAGUCCUUUGUUAUGAUCAUUUGCUGAUUUUUCUGUGAGGUAACCUACUUGUGAAUAAAUUUGAUAUUAGUUGGAAUAUAAUUAAUUAAUUUGGAAAUUUGGACAGUAAUCUGGAUAUGUUAAAGAUGUUACCUAAUUUUUAUUUUGAUGAGAUAACCUUCCUUGAUAUUUAUUUGGAGUUUUUUUUUUAUGAACUAAUAUUCUACCCUAUUUAAUGAUAAUUCCUUUGAUUUUGAUAAUUUGGUCACUUUUGAACAUGCUUGUGAACCUUCCUUGAUUUGAGACAUGCUAUGUAUAUGUAUAUAUGAGUUUAGCAUUGAAUUAUUCUUUAAGCUCAUUAUUAUUAGUUGUGAAUUAACCUCAUUUUAUGAAAACACUUUUAAAUGUUGUCAAAGUACACUUCUUUCCCUUACUUAUUUAUGCAUAUUAGUAUAUGUGCUUAAUUCAUAUGAUUGGUUGACUUUGCUUUGUUUGAUCUUCGUGUUGAUGAUCUUUCUUAAUGAUCCUAUGUGGAAUGCAUAUUAUAUAUGUGAUGAUACUUUUGCUUGUAAACUAAUUCUUUUGUUUUAUGGAAGUGCUUAACAAGCUAUAAAGGUAUGUUCUUCAUCUUCUGUGAUUAUUGCUUAUUGAAUGUGUAUGUUUUGACAUUUACUUUGAUCCAUGGUAUCCAUUAAUUUACCCAUUAAUUGCCAUAGUUACUCCAACUUAUUUAGUAGAGACCAAUUUUAGGGCUUAGAGGGGUGCUACCAUUAUAAUUCCUUCUCAAUAAGUAAUUUGACCCCUGGAUUUAGACUCGAAUUUUCAAAGACAUGCUUUUCUAUAAAAAAAAAAAAAGGAGUCAUUUUUUAAGGUUUUUCUUUCUUAUUUUUUCCCUUUAAAAAUAAAAUGAAAAUAAGUGGCAACUCCAUUAUUUAUAACAUUAGUUUUUCACAAACAAAAAGCGAAAGUCGCUAUCAAGUGGGAACGUGUGUGAAAAUGUGGGAUCAUAGUUUCCAUGGUGAGGGAACUAUUGUGUAUAUUUACACAUUAGAUGAGACUUAUGAUGAAUCGUAAUGUAAGGUUAUCAAAUUGUCAUGAUUCACCAAACUAUUAUGUUGCAUGGACUUUUAACAUUGAGGGGAUAUUGAGCCUAUUCUAAAAUCAACAAGUGGCUUUGACUUAUGGGUGAAACCUUUAAUGUGAUCAUAUAUCCUUAAGAAUUGAGUCAUUGUUAAUGAAGGCUAGUAACAAUAGGUAUUCUCAAUAAAGAUAUCAUGAUAUCUCAUGGGAUUAAGACGACAUGUCAUCUUGUGUGAUCUAAAUGACAUGUGAUCAUAAAAUCUAUGGUCCUAGUAAUUUCUUUAGUGAAAUUUGACAUAUACUCCUUCAAACUAGAGUAUGUCAAUUAAUCAUAUAAUGGAUGGACUUACAAGUCAAGGAUUGGAGAAGUAAUCUUGAUAGGUUGGUAGCACUAUCCUAUUAGAUUACAAACACACCACUUCAUUGGAAGUCUACAUGUAAUGAAUAGUAAGUCACAAACUUGAACUUUGUUUUGUUGUAAUUUCAUAAGAUAUUAAAGUGUAGUUGACUAUCUUUAGCAGAGUGUUGAGUCAACUUCAAAAUUGGAUUAUGAGGGAGCCAGUAUUUCCCUAUGGAUCACAAUGGUCGCCGCUUGAACUCUUAGUUCAUGGUGGUACAUGCUUUGAGGAUAUUUUGGAUAUGUAAUUCAUAAGUGUGCAUAAGGGCAUUUUGGUAAAAAUGCAAAGUUGCAUUAGAUCUUAUAAGUUGACUUUCUAGAAUAGGUUAAUUAAUUUAUUAGCCCUAAUGAGCUUUAAUUAAGACUUAUUUGAACUAAUUAAUUAAUUAGGACUUUAGCCCAAUUUGGACUUAAGUCACUUAAAUCUACAGGAAAGUCUAUAUAAACCUCCUUAAGGGUUAGGGUUUUAGCCUUAUAGUUCAAUUUUCUAAAAUUCUAGAGAGAAGAACUUUAACAUCUUCUAAAGAAAGAGAAAAACUCACCCUUCUUUCAUGCCAAGACCCAUGGAAAAGGAGAUCAGGUGGAACAUCAUUGGAUAGAUAAGUUCUAGGAUGACUAUCACAGUUUCAGAGUCUUUAUCGGAUGGAAAUCUAUAUGAGAACAUUUAGAUUGUAGGUUACAUUCUUCUCUAGAUCUAGUAUUUUUAUGGUUUUUAUUGUCAUAGUUUUUUUUUUUUUGCUUCAGAUCCAAAGAAACUUAGGAUAGAUGUAUGCACUUAUGUGAUCCAAGGUUAGGGAAUGAAACAAUCCGAUUUUCACAACUUUACUCUUUGCCUUGGUUAUUGUAGCCUAUCAAUCAUAAUGCACAAACAUAGACGACGCUAGUCUCGCCUCCAAAGAAUAUUUGUUAAGAGGUUUUAAGUCAUGUAGCCUCAAACUUACUAUUUAUAAGGCAAUAAGCAUGACCUCCAUUAUGGAUCAAGUGAUGUAGGUUUGCUUGGAAGGCUUCUAAGAAACUACCUCUCCUCCUAGGGUAAAGACAUACCUACUAGUGGAUUUCAUUCCAUUUGAAUCAAACAUCCAAAUUGAAUCACUAUACCCUUAAGUGCAUUAGGAAAUCCAUUAUAACAUAUACCACAAUCAUCAAUGCCUUUCAAGUACUUAUGUACCCUAUGAAUAACAUUCUAGUGGUCCUGGUUAGGACUCUAGGUGUGCUGACUCAUCUACCUAUUGCAUGGGUAAUAUAAGGUUUGGUACAAUUAAUUAAGUGCAUUAGGCUACCAAUGAUAUGAGCAUAUUAAGAUUAGACAAUACCAUGUCUUUUAGUUUUCUUUAUCUUUGAGUUGGGAUCAUAGGGAGUUACUAUUAUCUUAUAAUUAAAGUGUUCAAUAGGAUUUUCUCAAGUAUUAUUGAGAAAGUUUAAGCUCACUAGUUGUCCUAGUUAUGACUCCAAAGGAACUUGCUUAGCAUACUUUCAAUCUUGUGAAGGACACCUUUGGGCAUUUCAAAAGUUGAAGACCAGCAAGCAGCUGAAAAACCGUUGCGCACUAGUGCGCGUAACUUGGUAUUAAUUAGUUUUUCAGCUUCUCAAGGCGAGUCAGUUGCGCGGGUCAAGAUGGGCGAGAUGCGCAAGUAGAUGAGCCAUAUGCGCAGGUAUGGGUGAUAUGCACAGUAGGUUGUUAUAUGUGACAUUGCCUUAGUCUCAAAGACCUACCAUCCCCUUGCUAUUCAGAGCGAGAUGCGCAUAGCGAGAUUGAAUCAUUCUUAGGAAAACGUUCAAGUUGUUGUUUGAUAUAAUCGGUGGAGAACAUUCACAACUCAUUCUUUAUAUCUUUGAUUCUUGAAACUGAUAUACUUUUGAGAAAAUCUUAUAUCAAAAGCAUAACUUUCGAGUCAUGACUUGCGAGUUACAGGUUUUAGGAAAAACGAGAGUCUCCGUCGUGAGGUUAGGUCCAACUCUACUGAAAUUUGAAUGCCGCAGCUUAGCUGCCAAGGUAAAUAAAGUAUUUAUGAAUGAGUCAAGCUAAGCAAGGGGGCGGGGGUACCUAUAUCUACCCAACCAGGUGUGAAUUCUUUUAGUUUUUUCCAGAUAUAGGGCUUUGUUUGAAAGAAUAUGUCUUCAUUAGCGAGUAGCUGCUGGUUUUCAAUCCUCCCAGUGAUUGAGUGAGUUCACGCUCUGUUCAGCGUGGCCCAACUAGGAGUGGAUGCCAACUCAAUCUGAUUUGCCUCGCAUUGACCUCCCCGUCUCUUUAUCAUAGAUCAGCCCUGUCAUCGCUUCUCCUGCGACAAAAACUUGGGUGAAGAAUUCAGUGGACAAAAAGUAAAUUGAUGAUUUUCUUAAUAGGGUUAGCUGAUUUGCUUGGUUCGUCUGUUCUCUCCGAGACCCUCCUUCGACUCGCACUCGCGAAUAUCAAAAUCUAGUAUCUUGCUGUUUUUUCAGUCAAGUUAAGAACACACGCUUCAACUUGCACCUGCGCUAAUCAGUGACUUGCUAACUUGCCUUCAUGUCUCGCUACCAAUACACUUACUUGAUAUCAAUCGACUCAUAUUAGUAAGACAUCUUCUAAUGAGUCUCGCUCUCAAACCCUUGUACUUUAGCUAGCGAUUGCGCGUUAGUGUUUUUUUUUUUUCUUCUUUCGUUGACACACAAAUUUUUCUUAUCUCGUUGAUUGAGCUAGCGGUGGAAAAUUACGCAUGAAUUGUCUUCUAAUUAUGCCAGUCAAAAGCCCGAUCAUUUGAAUAAUGUUCCUAACCUCUUGGCAAAAUGUUUUGUUUUAAGAGAGACCAAGAUUGUCUUAGCACGAAGGACUGGCAGUCUUUCUAUCUGUAACGAAGAUUACGUCCUCACUCAAGCCCUUUUCCAAAAGAAAUGGAAUAUCACACCCCUCUAUAGCACAAAGCAUCAUUCCAAAAGGAGAAGCACCUCUCAUAAGGGUCACAUCGCAAGCAGGGGACUGAACCAAGCAAAAAGGGUUCAAAUCUUAAUGAUGAACGCAUUGGCAGAAAGGCUACGUGAUGGGAUGAUCAACUGGAUUGCUACUCCCAUAAAAAAUGACUAUCAAAUAAAGGAUGGUAGAGGAUCAGAUGGAACCCUGCAUUGUCCUCUACAGACUCCUACCCAUUUCAUUCAGGUUUUCUUGUCCAAAAGAAAGAUAAGCGAAAUAUGAGUCAAAAGUGUCCCCGAAGAUCGGUGAAAAGUACUUGAAAAAGACACCUAUUCUGAUGAAAGAGACUGACAAUAAUCCCAAUAGGUUUAGUUCUACUAACUCUCUAUUCUUUUAUCUGUUCUUUCCCUCAAACGAAAAAUAAGAUUUUCCUAUAGCAUAGAGAGGAAAUGAAAAAGAAAAUUGCAUUUUGUCAUAUCCCUUUCUCUCCGCUUUGAACAUUUCUCUCAUCCCGAGAAAGAGCUCGAUCAUGUACACCUCAGUCGAAGCAACGUAUAUCAGCAUUGACCCCCUUCGCGAUACGCCUUCGAUCUGUGUUAGCUUUUGCUACAUACUUGCUUGGUGGGUUCAGAUUGAAGUAGACUAGCAUCAAACUUCUCUUGCCCCGGUCCUGUAUUUUCCAUGUGCUCACUCUGCGCCUACCACACUUCCGGUUCGCUUUAGACAAGUCUUGAACCUCAUUCUCUCUAGCCCCAGCUGAAAAACAGAUGCACGUGCUAGUGCGCCCCUAUUAGUAAAGCUUAGAUUUGAAGCUGGUAGAAGUAGAUAUUUCAUUUCCAGUUCAAGCACAGUUUAUCCAGGCGGUUGGGGUAGGGAUGGAACACAAGCUCAGGACCUAGGGAAGGGAUGGAUUAAAGAACUUCUUGACGCGGUAACACGGGGAGACGAGUCACCCAUGGACACCCCCUAUGGAGGACUAGCAAUAGGAACGGGUCUCAUAAUUCUCGAGGUUGCGAUAAGAGUGCAUGAGAAAUGGAAUCUUUCUGAGUUGUGGAGUCAUCUUGUGUUGAUGCCACUCCAAUCUUCUCUCCAAUCUCGAUUUUAAUCGACCAAAGACUCUAUAGGGCUUUUUUUUUGUUAUGUCUUGGAGUAAAAUCCACCCGGAGCAAAAACACGACAUAUUAUUUGAGUCUCAAAGAUAUGAUGUUAUCCAUAGAAAGUGGAAGCAUAGUUUCUAUAUUGUAAAAGAGAGUUUUAACUACUCCGUCCUAUCCAACAAAAAUUCAGAAUCAAAGUUCUUUUCCAUUUCCACUGUAUUACCUCAAUGUUGUCAAUGUGAUGUGAUGGUUUGUUAUGCCCAUCGCUUGUUGAAGUGAGAUGAUCCAUUUCUUAUGUGUGAGUUAAGAUAGAUGGUUGGUCACUUCCGACUCAUAGAAUGAGAUGAAGAAAUUCUCAUAGGUUAGCAUUAGGUAGUUUUUUUCUACGAGCAAUAUAGCCUUUAUGCCCCAAUUGAUAAUAGAUGUUUUUCCACUCGAUCUAGUUCCAGCUAUUUGCAUCACGGGAUGAUUUAGUGGUUCAUUUAUCGCGUAGGGCGGGGGACUAGGGAACUGCCAACCUAGGUUUCAAUAAGAGCCCUUCCGAUACUUGUAGGAUUGCACAAAGACCUUUGGAUCGAACACCUUGCACCACCGGGAUGAAUGGGAAGGCCUUGAGGUGGAAAUGAUUCAGAAUUAGUUUGCAAACGAUAGACAAACUUUCGAUGGGGUCCCGAUCCCGGUUAUUUAUGUUUAAGUGAAAAAUAAAGAUCGAAAUGCGGUUUUGCAUCGGUGGUAACACUAGUAGUUGACCCACUUUCUAUGAACUCAUCUGAUCCAAUGUCAUAUCCAAUUGACCGAGUCGAACUAUCAGCAGUGGAGAAGGCAACAAAAGCACUACAAAAAAAGGCAGAGAUAUCACCAGCGGUAGAGGUAGCAGCAUCUAAGCCAGUAUCUAGGCCAAUUGGCUUCGUCGACUCAGCAAUUGAAGUAGUUGAUCUUGAUUUAUAGAAUCACUUUUGUCUCUCCUAAGGUCUUUCAUAUCAAAAUUAAAGCCUAGGAAUUUCUUAGUCUCACAUAUGACAUUUAAGAUAGUUCUGAAAAUCAAUAUGUCAUCUACAUAGAAAUAGACGACAACACAUGUUUUACCCAAUUUUACUAUAAAUGCACUUAUCAACAUCAUUAAUGGAAAAUCCAUUAGUUACUAAAAUGUGAUCAAAUUUGUUAUACCAUUGUUUAGGUGCUUGUUUUAACCCAUAUAAAGACUUAACAAGCCUACACACUUUUUGUUUUUCUCCUAGAACAAUGUAACCCUCUAGUUGAUUCAUGUGAAUUUCCUCUUUCCAAUUGCCUAAGGAUUAGUAUUGACAUCCAUUUGGUGUACUACUAAAUUAUGAAUGGAAACUAGAUCCAAUGAUAUUUUAACAUGGGAUAGCUUGGUUACAAUGCAAAAAUGUCAAAUUAGUCUACAUUUUUCCUUCAUUUAAAUUCUUUUGGCAACUAAAUGUCCCUUAUGUUUUUCUAUGGGUGUCUAUCUAGUUUUAACUUCUUUUUAAAAUCCACUUACAACCUAUUGGCUUUACACCAUGAGGUAAAUCCAUUAUCUCUUAUGUAUGGUUAGACAUGAUUGAUUCAAUUUCACUAUUUAUAUCUUUUUUCCAAAAUGGUGCAUCUGGAGAAAAUAUAAUUUCUUUAUUAGUCUUAGGGUUUUUAUCUAUUAGAAAGGUGUAAAAAUCAUCUCCAAUAUUUGUUUCCUUUCUAUAAUUUUUUUACUUCUUCUUAAUUCUAUCUCGGUAGAUUCAUUAGACUCAUUUCUAAUGGUUUUUUGAAUUUGGUCUUCAUAUUAUUAGGUUUCAUAGGAAAGAUUAUUCCAAAGAAAAUAAUAGUCUUUGUUUCCAUUAUGGUGUUUACUUCACUAGUUUGUUAUAUGAUUUGAUAAUAAGAAACCUCAUUGUUUUCAACAUAUCCUAUGAACAUUGUAUAAAAAAUUUAGGACUUAAUUUUUGUUUCUCAAGUUUAGAAAAGAGUAUCUUUGUUAGACACUCUUACACUUUUAGGUAUGUUAUGUUCGGUGCAUUAACCUUCCUCAACUCAUAGGUUGUUUUUCCAGUUUUCCUAUAAGAUAUUCUAUUUUGAAUAUGAUAAUUGGAAAGAAUAGUUUCUCUUCACAAGUUCAACAAUGUUCAAGAACUUAUCAAUAUUGCAUUAAUAAUGUGUUUUAAGGUUUUUUUUUUUUGCUACUCCAUUCAAUAUUGGGUAAAGCAAUUGGACUCAUACUUUCUCAUUUCCUAUCACUUCUAAGUUUUUUUUUCUUAGUUGAUUUUUCUACUUUGUUUUAUAUUUUAUGAAGGUGUCUCCUACUUCAUUGUUAUUUAUUAAAAGAUAUACUUUUAUAUACUUUAAGUAAUAAUCUAUAAAAUUUAUGUAGAAUCUUUUACCAUAUCUUGUUAUUGUAUUUUUAAGAUCUUUUAAGUCACAAUAAAUUAAACUUAGUAAUUUUAAUUCUCUAUCUACAGUUUUACAAUUCUUUUUUGUGACUUUAGAUUCCACACAUAAUUCACAUUUUUUAUGGUUUUCCAAAGAUAAUUUGGUAAUCAAGCUAACAUUCACCAUCUUCUUGACAUAUGAAUAAUUUCUAUUUUCUAGUUUACCAUGCCAUACAUCAUAGGAAUCAACUAAAUAAGUAAUAAAAGAAGCAUUGUUAUUAUUGAUCUCAGAAACAUUCAACAUAAAUAAAACUUGAUUACUAUUGAAAUAGAGCCCCUUAAAAGUAAGUCAUGAUGUAAUAAAGUUAGACUUAACUUUUCACUUUUUAUCAUCUUUCUACAUCAAUAUUGAUUUGAGUAUUCAAGCUCAUACUACUUGCAUUGUACAUAAUUUGGGUGUAUUAGAAGUUACACAAAAGAUAUAAGUCAUGGGUUCUUUGUAAGAUGAUAAUUAGUUCAUGGCCAUUUCAUGGAUUUAGACAAUCCAUAUAGACUGUAAUGCACUACUUCCUAAUUAGAGGGAUGACUUGUCUUAACCACCAGGAUGAGAUUCCCAUGGUGAGUUCCUUAGUGUGUAUGGGUACACACUGGACAAGACCUGAAUCAUGACAUAAGACUAUCUAGUUAGUUGUCACGAUCCAUCAAUCUAAUAUAUUGUAUAAACUCUAACUUUGAGAGGAUAUUGAACUUGUACUGAAAUCAACAAGAAGUUUUGACCUAUGGGUGAGAUCUUAAAGUGAUCAUAUAUCCCUACGAAUUGGGUCAUUAUUGAUGGAGGUUGGUGAUAGUAAGCAUUCUCAUUAAAGACACUAUAAUAUCUCAUGAGAUUGAAAUAGUGUGUCCCUUUGGGUGAUUCAAAGGACAUGUGAUCAUGAAAUUUGUGGUCGUAGUGAUUCUUUAAGUGAAAUUUGAUAUAUGUUCUUUGUGAACUAGAGUAUGUCAAUUAAUCACAUAAUAGGAGGAUCUAAAACUCAAGGAUUAGAAAAGUAAUCUUGUUGGGUUGAUAGCCUUAAAUUAUAUAGGUCAUAGACCCAGACUUUGUCUUGUUGUAAUUUCAUAAGAUGUUAGAGUGCAGUUGACUCUUUUUGCUGGAGUGUCAGAUUAAUAAGUCAACUUCAAAAUUAGAUUAUGAGGAAUCUAAUAUUUUAUUAUGGGUCUUAAAAGUCCCCAUUCAAGCUCCUAGUUCAUGAUGACACUUUUUAUUUAAGGGAUUUCGGUUUGCACUUCAUAAGUGUGCUUAAAGGUGGUUUAGUAAAAAUGCAAGGUUACACUAGAUCUUAUGAAUGAUUUUUUCUAGAUUAGUGGAUUGGGAUAAUUAAUUAAUUAGAGCUUAUUAUAACUAAUUAAUUAAUUAGAACCAAAAUGGGAUGAAUUAGGCGAUCCAAGCCUAGUUUGAGUUCAAGUUACUUAAGUCCACAGAGAACCUUAUAUGAGCCCCCUUAUAAGGUGUUUGGUAAGUGGGAAUGGAGAAUAAGAAUAGACAUUUUGUUUUAUUUCCUAUUUAUUGUGGAAUGGAAUUGAAUUUUUGAUUUCAUUUCUAUUGUUUGGAUCAACUUAGGAAUCUAAGAUUGGAAUGAUUAUUUGUUGUCAUUCCAAUGUUUGGUAACAAUAGGAAUGUGAAUGAAAAAGAAAUAAAUUGACAAUAAUACCCUUACAUUUUUAAAGAAUAAAUUUUAAGAGUUUUUUUUGUUACUAAAUGAUAAGAAUAAACAAAUAAUAUAUUCAAUAAAUAAAAUAUUAACCAUAAAAAAUCAUACAACCCUAGUAUACAAAUAUUCAAUUAUUCUUUUUAUAAAAAAAUUGAAUAAUUUGUCAUGUCUAAGAAUCUAUAAAAUUAUAUUUUAUAAAAAAAAAAUAAAUAAAUAUAUUUAUUAUUGUAUUUAAAUUCUCAAAGAUAGCAAAUACUUUUACUAUUUCCAAAAGAGGAAAUAAAAACUCAAACUUCAUUUUAAUUUUCAAUAAAUAUUAUAUCCAAUAAAAUCCACAACCCUAAAAAUAUGCAAAUAUCCACUUAUUCUUUUAUCAAAUUUUGAAUAAUUUGUCAUGCAAAAAAAACUCUAAAAUUAUAUUUUACAAACAAUUAUAAAAGCAUUUAAAUUUCCAAGGGUAAAAGAGUAAUUUUAUGCUAUUUUAUAUUAUCUAUGGGAUGAAUGAAUUAGGAUACCACUUGUUUGUGAUGAAUUAAAAUCCCACUUAUAAUUGGGAUUUGAUUUAUAUCGGAAUUAUUUUUUAUUUCAUUCAUACCUUCAUAAAAUUUAUCCAAAUAUGGGAAUAAAGAAGAAAAAGAAUUAGAUAUCCAUUCCUACUUCCCAUUCCCGCUUACCAAACACCCCUUUAAGGGUUUAGGGUUUAGGUUUUUAGAAUUUUGACCAUCAUCUUUUAGAGAGAAAGUGAAAGUAAACCCUAGCCGCACUCAAGAAAGAUGGAAGAACUCAUCUCUCUCUUGUGCCACGAUUCAUGAAUGGAAAGAUUGGGCUGAAGAUCUUUAGGUAGAUGAGAUCUACAAUGCCACGACUUGGGUAGACAAGAUCUACAAUCUCAUGACAUCUUCUUUGAAUUAGAUUCAAUUUGAGAACAUCUAUAUCAUAGGUAUAGUUCUUCUAAUCUCUAGAUUUAGUUUCUAUUUUGGUUUUUAUAGUAAUUAUUUUCUAUUAUGCUUAGCUCUAGAGAGUUUGGAUAAGAUUGCAUGCACCCUAAUGAUCCAGGGUCAAGAAAUGGAGUAAUUCAAGAUUCCCAACAACUACAAUAACAUUUUCCAACAAAUAUGUCAUUUUUGGUUAAUCUAAUUUUAUAUGAUUCAAAUAAGAUAUCCACUCCUAUUUUCCUAAGUAAAGAGGCAUAUAAGAGAUUCUAAUGGAUAUUUGGCUUGUAAAGGACAUGACUUAGAACAAAAACUUUGCUUGAGGUUAGUUUGAGGAGAACUUUUCCUUUACUAAACACAAGCAAAGGUUUAGAAUUGCCUAUGAACAUUUGUUCCUCACCUUCUUUACUAUAGUAUAGGAAGUGAAUACACUUCUAUUACCACAUAUAUGCUUGGUAACUCUAGAGUCUAUCACCCAAUCCUUUACAUUGAUGACUAUAUUCACCUCAAGGAGACUAUAACAACUAUCACCUUUGUCUCUGUCAAAUUCACCUUAGGAUUGGACUUCCUAGUUCUUUUCCCGUGGCAACAUGAUCACCAAUUUUUGUUGUCCUGAAUACUAAGCCUAAAUUAUAUUGUAACUUUACAAAAAAAAAAAUCAUAAAUAAAGUUACUAUGACUUUUGUAGUACUUUGAGUAUCAUCUUCAAGGGGUAGCCUAUAGAUGUUUUCAAAACUAAGUAAAAAAAUCUUGUUUUCUAUUUGAUUCUUUAAAAAAAUUGGAGUUUAUUAAAAUAAACCUAAUUAAAUUAUAGAAUAAUUAUUUAUUUUUAAUUCAAUUAAUCAAGAUUAGGAUGUUCCAUUAUUCAACUUUCAACACAAACCUUUUAUGUGAAACAAGGGUAUAUAUUUUAAUUAAUCUUAUUUGGAAUGCAUGGUCUAAUGAGAUCAACCUAAGUUUCAUAUCUUAGAUUUGAUUUAUAUUUUAACUGUUAUUAUUUUGUUCCAUUGUAAAUUACAUAAGAGAUGAAUUAAGGUGAAAUUUGGGUUUAAGUCAAACAUUUUUAGGCUUUUACCACUGCAUGAAGAUUUGCCUCAAGAUAGAUAACAAUGAAAAAAUCUUGGAUAACUAUGAUCAAGAAUUACCAAAAAUCCCUAGUAUCAAGAAAUUUGUAAUUGUAUUAUCUCCUUAAUUAAACUAACUUUAGAGGGUAUUUUGAUUUUGAUAUUAAUACCCUAACAUUUCAUUCAUACCAUUAUUAAUUCAAUUUCACUCAGUACCUUUUGGAUCUAAUACUAGGUUUUAAUGUUUCAUAUCAUAAGAUGACUUUUUAACCUCUCGUGGGUGUAUUCUCACAUACAUAAGCCACAAAAGAAUAGGAAAGAAUAGUUCUUGAUUUUAAUGGAAUUAAAAACAUUAUUUUAUUCAAUAAUAUGAAUGAGAAAAAAAAACAAACCAAGAAAAACUUUUCAUGUCUUCAUUUUUUUCUCAAGAAUCAUAAAAAAAUAAAAUAUCUUAUAAAAUAUGAGAUUUUGUACCACUAUGGUAACUUGUGGAUGAUCAUCCAUAACUAUCUUUUGUUAACUCCCUAUAAAAUGAAAGGACCCCUAAUGAAAUUCUAUAGAGUUUUCUCGUGCAUUCUAUUAUCUCUUUCUUGUUUUCUUCUUCUCUCACUUUAUUUUACAACACGUUAUCAGCAUGAUGUUCGGAGUAUAUAUAUAAAAAAAAAUUAAUCUACAAAAUUUCUUAUAGGUAUGUAGUCUUAUUCUCUUCGAAUGAAAUAUGAAUAGUAUGCAUUGUAUUAUUAUAAUUUUUAUUUACUUUAUCUUAUAGCCAGAAGCUAUGUGAAUUAUAUUUCAUAUAAUUAUAGAUUUUAAUUAUUUAAUAACUAGAAGUUAUAUAGAAAAAUUUUCAUAACUAGAAGUUAUGAAAAAAUACAUAAUCUUCAUAACCAAAAGUUAUGCAUAACAAAAUUACAAAUACAUAGCCGAAAGGUAUGCAUAAGAUCCUUAAUUACUUCUUAGUUAUAUUAUAUAAUUUGAAGUUAUAUAAAACAAUAUUAUAUGACCAAAAGUUAUAUAAUGAAUAGUUAAUAGUCUGAAACUAUGUACAAAUCUAAAAUUACAAAUACAUAGCCAAAAGUUAUGUAUAUAACUCUUAAUUAUUUGUUUUUAAUUAUACAAUAUAACUGGAAGUUAUAUAAAAUAAUAUUAUAUAGUCAAAAGGUAUAAAAUGAAUAGUUCAUAACUUGAAGUUAUGCACAAAUCUACACAAUGAAUAGUUCAUAGUCUGAAGUUAUGCACAAAUUUACAUAAAAAAUGGUUCAUAUCCUAAAGCCAUGUAAAAAUUUAAAUAUUUUAUUGAAUAAUUCAUAGUCUGAAGUUAUGCACAAAUUUACAUAAAAAAACGAUUCAUAGCCUGAAGCCAUGUACAAAUUUAAAUAUUUUCUUGUUUUGACAAAAUAAUCAUAGCCUGAAGUUAUGAAAUAUAUUAACUUUUAAUUUCUUUAAUUUAUUUUAAUUAUAUUGUGUAACUAGAAAUUAUACAUAAAUAGUUCAUAACUUGAAGUUAUGCACAAAUUUACAUAAAAAAAAAAUAGUUCAUAGCUUGAAGUUAUGUACAAAUUUACAUAUUUUCUUGUUUUGACAAAAUAAUCAUAACUCAGUUAUGAAAAAUAUUGACUUUUAAUUUUUAUUUCAUAUUCACAAUUGUGGAAAAUAAUUUUACUUAUUUUUGACAACAUGAAUUAUGGAAAAUUUUUUAUUAACAAUUGUUUCAGAGCGAGAAGUUAUGCAUACAAUUUCUAAUUCUCUUGUAUAACUAGAAGUUAUACAAAAUAAAAUUGUCAAUGAACAACUAUGUACCUAGAAGAUACAUAAUUUUUUUAAUUUUGUUAUAUAACCAAAAGUUAUAUCAUAAUAUAAUUGUCAAUUGUUUAAUGUUAUUAUAACAUUACUUAAAUUUUAAUUAUUCAUAGCAUGAAGCUAUGAAGAAAAAGUUAGUAAAUUAAUAAUUGUUAAAACUUGUAUAGUUAGAAGCUAUAUGAAUAUAUAUAUACAUACAUAUAUAUAUAUAUAUACUAUAUAACCAAAAGUUAUAUAAAUAUUAUUAUUCAUAACCCGAAGUUAUGAAAAUAAGAAAAAUUAAUAUUCUUUGUACUAAUAAAAAGUUAUGCCAAAGUUGUUAAUACGUACUUUCUUAUAGCUAUAAGCUAUAGAGAACAAAAUUGUUAACUAACAAUUUUGUACAACUUUAUGAAAUUUAUAUAACCAAAAGUUAUAAUGAAAUAUAUUAUAGCUUAAAGAUAUGAUAACAAACAUAUAGAUAAUAUUUAUAUAUUAUCAAAAGAUUAAUAUUUUGUAUAUCAAGUUAUACAAAUAAGUAAGUGUUUGAUAGUUUUUAUAAAUUUCUAUUAUUAAAAGUUAUACUGUCAUUGGUAGAAAAAUUUACAUAUAGAUGUGGAAUUUCAGAUUGCAUGAAAGUAUGAUAUUUUUGUAUUAAAGGUGAUAGUUUGGAUUUUUUUUUUUUUAAUUCUAGUUGUUUAAUACACAAUAAUAUUUUGAUUUGGAAAAUUGAGAUUUUUUUGAUACAUGUGAAAUGUAUGACUUGGUCAUAUGGUUAAUAAAUUGAUUUUGCAUGUCAAUUUUCUUUAUAACAUGUUUUUAUGAUUGAAAAAUUUUGAGUUAUAUAAAAUAAUAUAUAUUAUUGCCUGUUGCCACAUAUGGUAUUUUUAUUAAUGCAAUAAUUUCAUUAUCCAAAAAUAAUUUUGAAAUUAUAAUAAGUUCAACUAUUGUUCUCAAUAUAUUAUGUUAUAUCUUUACAUAUAUGUUUAGAUGGAUUUGUAGUAUUUGAAUUAAAGUUUUGAGACAACAAAAUGCUUUAAAUCAUGAUAUGUUCUCUUAAAAUUUUGAUUUAUGAAUUAAUUUUUGCACAUUGAUUUAGAUUAUAAUAAUAUUUUGAAUAAAAUUAUUGAUCUAUUACUACAAUUAGUUUGAUUAUUGAAAUACUUCAUAGUUAUUUCAUGUAUAAAUUGCUCCACACUUACAAAAUCAAAUGUGUGAGAUAUUUAAGAAAUAUAUAACAUUAAAUUAUUUUUUUCAUAUUUGUUUUAUUGUGUUAUAUAUGUUCUCAUUGCUUUUACACAACUUAUUAAGUUAAGUCAUCAUCAAUGACUAAUAUUUUUCUAUUGAUUUUUACUCUUUCUCUAUGAUAAUAUUUCUUCAACUCUAUAAAGACAGAGUCUUUAUGACAUGUUUUAUAACUUGUUAUUUUGAUGAAAGUCUUGUCUCAUUAAUUGCACAACAUUGAUGACAAACAAUGUUAAUACUACAUCAGGUGAUAGAAACCUGAUUAAAGGUUCCAUAAGAGCUUGUACUAUAUCACUAGUAGUAUUUGAUUCCAUGGGAAUGACACUUUAUACGAUGCUAGAUCUAAGAGAAUCUUGUAAGACCAACUUGGUCUCCUAUGGUAAAAUGUCGUAUGAAAGUACAUUAUAAAAUCAGAAGUUUUAAUUUAGUAACUAGUCUACCUAUACACUUGAAAGAUAGAAUGACAUGUUGUGCAGAUUAUCAUUUUAAUGAGACAUUUUUCUCCCUGUUAGGGGGAGAAGAGCAUGUUUCAGAAGAACGGCGUGAAAUUAUGCAUUGAUUUUGACUUAUCUUGAUCCUCAUACUAAUCAAUGUGAACUGAAAGUUCAAAAGAUUAUUUAUUUGCAAGAACUUGCAAAUCAACAACCAAAUGCUUUCAUUGAUACAAAGAAAGUGACAAAAUCAUUUUCACUGACCUAGAAUAUUCCAAUACGAAUUGAUGUUCCUGAAGGAUGAUUAAAUAAUGAGUUGAUGUCCCUAAAUAAUAAUUAAAUAAUGAGUUGAUGUCCCUAAAUAAUAAUUAAAUAAUGAGUUGAUGUCCCUGAAGGACAAUUAAAUAAUGAGUCUAAGGCAUGCUUGAAGGGUGGUAGACCCUAAAAAGACAAACACAUUCCCUAGAAGAGGAAAACAUAAGAAAAUAUAUAUGAAAUGUGGCACUCUUGAAGAAGUUGCAUAUUAAAUGAGUUAUUAAAAUGACUAAUCGGUCUCAAGCAGCCCCUGAAGAGGCAUAGUUUAAAUAAGUAGCCCUAUGAGAGACAUAUGUUUUACAAUUAGCUCCUGAAAAGGUACAAGUACCUGAUAUUGAUGAGAUCUCAAUUAUUUACUUAUAUAUGGAAAAAAUGGGAUUAAAAUACUUUUUUCAUUGACAAUAUAUUUUCUUUCCAAAUAGAUAUUGACAUCAUAAGAAAUGAUGAGAAUCCCAAAGUAGAAACUAUGAAUGAAUGUCAAUAUAGAAAAUAUUGGCCAAAAUGGAAAGAAUACAUCUCGAAAAAAUUAGACUCAUUAGAAAAAUGAGAAGUAUUCAGACCUGUAGUCCAGAUGCCUGAAGUUGUCAAACUUCUUGGAUAUAAAUGAAACCAUGAGAUAUAAAACGCGACUCAUAGCUUAAGGUUUCCCGUAAAAACCUAGUAUUGACUACGAUGAAACAUAUUCUCUUAUGAUGGACACAACCAUAUUUAGAUAUCUAAUUUGUUUAAUAGUCUUAGAAAGACUUGAUAUAUAUAUAUAUAUAUAUAUUCAAAUUCCUGAAGCAACUAAUUCAAAACAUUGUAACAUAUACUCAAUUAAGUUACAAAGAUCCUUGUAUCGAUUAAGCAAUCCAAAGACGUGUGGUACGAUCACUUCAAUGAAUAUUUGAAGUGAGAAGUAUGUAUUACCUUAUUUUGUCUAUGCAUAUUCGUUGUGUUGAAUAUUUGCAAUUAUUAUAGUAUAUGUAGAAUAUUGAAUUUUGUUGCUACUCUUGAAAAGCUUACAAAAAUAGUUGAUUAUUUGAAAAGUAAAUUGAAAUGAAAGAUCUUGGAAAACAAAAAUUUUUCUUCGACUUACAGAUCGAGUACUUUUCAAACAAAAUAUUAGUUUAUUAGUCAACAUAUACAAAGAAAGUCUUGAAGCACUUUCAUAUGGAUAAAUCAUAUUCAUUAAGUUCUCUGAUGAUAGUUCAUUCACUUGAAGUGAAAAAAGACCUCUUCUAUCCUAAAAAAGAUAAUGAAGAACUACUUGGUCUAAAAGUACCAUAUUACAAUGUUAUUGGUGCACUGAUGAAUCUUGCAAAUUAUACAUGACCAGAUAUUGCAUUCCUUGUUAAUUUACUUGUGAGAUAUAGUUCUGCACCAACUCAGAGACAUUGGAAUAAAAUCAAUCAUGUACUAUAAUAACAUGGGUCUAUGUUAUUUCGAAUGAUCAAAAUCUUAAUUGCUUGAAUAUGUAGAUGCUGACUAUCUUUCAGACCCCCACAAAGCUCAAUCUCAAAUGAGGUAUGUAUUUAUCUAUGGUGGUAUGACAAUAUUGUGAAAAUCCAUCAAGCAAAUAAUAGAAACAUGUGGACUACCCUCCAUCAUAGGUAAUGCUACCAAGUUAAUAAUGUUGUAUGCAUUACACAUAUUCAAAAAAUGAUACAUUAAGGGUGAUAGAAUUAAGCAUAUAUCGCCCAAGUCUUUUACUUUCAUUAACUCCAGAAAAGUGAUGAAAUUGCUAUUAGACGAAUAAGAUCAAGUGACAAUUUAAUAGAUCUAUUCACAAAAGCAUUGUCAACUGCAAUACUCAAGAAGCUCAUUGGAAUGCGUCGACUUAAAGAUCUUCAUGUUAUGCUACUAGAGAAAAUAUAAUCAUGUUAACAUGAGGGGAAGCUAAUUGAUAAGAAUAUCACUACGCUGUACUUUUUUUCCUUUCAUCUAGGUUUUGUCCUACUAGGUUUUACUGGUAAGGUUUUUAAUGAGGCAGUUGUACUAAUCCAAAAGACUAUUGUACUUUUUUUCCUUCACUAGGGUUUUUCCUAGUAAGGUUUUAAUGAGGCAUAUUCUUAUGAUCAUCCAAGAUGAAGUGUUAUAAAAUAUGAGAUUCUAUACCACUAUGGUAACUUGUGGAUGAUCAUCCAUAAAUAUCUUUUGUAACCCCCUAUAAAUUGGGGUUUUUAUGCCAAAAACAAAAAUUAAUAUGUGACAUACUUCUAUUGGCCACUUAUUUUUCAAAUAAUUACCUAAAAAAUAAUAAAUAAUAAAAUUGUGAUUUCUAGUCAUAUAGGGCCCACUUAGGGUUGAUAGAGUGCCCUAGACACAAUUCUCAAUGUGAAAAAAGCAAAAUCUCAAAGUGUAUCGUAUGUGAUUUUGAAAUUGAGGUAAUUUUGAAAUGGAUUUCAAAAUUAUAAGUUGAAUUUUUUUAAAUUACAAUUUUGAUUUCAAAAUGACUCUUUAGUUUUACCUAGUUACUUUCAAAUGGCCAUAACUUUUUUUGUUUCAACUUCAAUUUGCACACCUUUUAAGUCUUGGACUCUUGACUUUCUUAGGCUUUAAAACAAUGUAUAAUAUGUUUAAAAUUGAUCUUAGGAAGUUCUUCAAAAUUCAUUUCCAAAUGAAGACAUAUGCUACUACUAGAUUUUGAAUUCCAUUAAACUUUGAGGUAUAACCUCCAACCUUCUUUUUUGUUUUUUCUUGUUCUCCAUAUCUUUCCAUUAUCUCUCAUGUUAUGCAUUACUCCAUUUACAUUUGUUGCAACUCUCAUCAUGCUUAAGAAUCCUUGGACUUUCUUGUAUUCUCAUUAAGCUCUUUCACUUUUAUGGAUGAAAGAGAUUCUUGUAACUUACAUCUUUUUGCAUCUCUUAAACUUGAAUCUUAGCUUAAGAUAUACUUCAAAUUCAUGGUUAAGGUCUUCGCAAUAAUUUGAGUUAAAUGGGGCAAAGUUGAACAUUUUUAUCACAUAAUUCACUCUCUAAUUAUGCCAUUAGGGCACAAUUCAUGGCUUCAAUUAUGACACUGAGCAACAUGAUGUCUAAGCUUGCCAUAAACAAAGUAGUUCAUUCUUUUUUCAAUUUUAAGGUUUUGAACCUUAUUUAUUGAAUUAUGUAUGGGUUGAGAGUUUUGUUUUCUAGACCUAUUAUUUUGGUUUCAUUUAAAAUUUUCUUCCACCACAUUUGAUUUAGAGGAUAACUCUUGAAGUUUCUAAGCUUUGUCUUUGUUUAUAUUUCAUUCCUCAAUCCAGAUAUAAAUAAAAUUACAUCUUCUACAUACAAUUUUUUUAUGCUUCAAGUUAUUUUUGUAAUCUUUCCAAGAGUUUGGAAGAGUUUCUAUCAAGCAUCUAGUCACAAAUGGUUUAGAAAGUUUUAUAUCUUCAUUAGAUAGAUCACUGAUCAAUAAAUAACAAUCAUGAGUUUGAGAUGAAACAUCUAAAUCCUCAAUCAUGUGGAACUUCCUAAAUUUCCCUAUAUAAUUUUUUUUCAAAUUACUUUUUGUUCAUAGUGUUUCUAAUAUCUUUAGCAAUUUUGAACUAAUAGUAGACAUCAAAUAACUCGUUUCAAAUAGUACUAAAAAUUGCAUACCUCACUUGUUUAUCGUUGUUUUCCCAUGGAGUUAGUCGAAUUAUUUGAUCUAUCAUUAGGUUUAGGUCAGUCAAGACAUACUUUAAGUUGACUACACCAACUAUAGAGAAAACCCUUUCUUGCCACUUUCUAAGAAGUAUCAUGAGAAGGGUUGUUUCCAUUGAUCUACUUUAAGAUUAUUGGAAAAUCAAAGUAUUAAGUCCAUAACGAUUAAAGAUAGAACCAAAAGAUGAUUAAAAGCAUAAACUAAACUGUAAACUGAAUAUAUACUUGUUAAAUUUUUACUAUGGUUGAAAUGUUAUAUAUAAAGCAUUAUCCUUAAAGUAGAUUCAUCAUUUUCAAAUAUCAUGUCUUGACGCAAUAGGAAAAAAAACCGACAUUCUAUUUCUAGGAUUCAAUAGUCACAAUUCUUUCAAGGUCUAAUCCUUGAAAGAGCUUUCUUGAGUUACAUCUCUUUAGCAUAAGGAACAGUCCUCUAAAAGUAAGAGAAGUGGAGAGAAACAAAGAUCAAAGAGUUUUUUGAUAGGUUCGUUUUUUUUCUACGAAGUAUUUCUUUUUGUUUGGAAAAAAUUGUAACAAAAGAAAAAUAUCUAUAAUGGAAUGAUGAAAUUUAAUUUUUAAAAUCAAUUUCAAAACAUGAUUUUAAAUUGAAGAUGCGAUUUAGUUCCAAUAAUACUAGUAUUGUUAUUCAUGAAAAUUGGUAAUUACCAGCCUCAUUAUAAUAAAUUUCUUAGUUAGCAUUUUUUUUAAAUUUAUGAAUAAAAAUUUUGUCAAAUUAUUUUGAGUUGUGCUUGUAGAUGUGGGAUCCCUUCUAUGCACUAUGUUCGUGAACAAGCCAAAUUAAGAACUUUUGGAUCAAGUCCCCGUAAUCCCAUUGGAUCGGCAAAGUGUUUAUAUGCAUAAUUCUAAAAGGCUUAAAAAGUGGAGGUGAAUAUAAGGGCUUAUUUGAAAACUAUUUUCAAGAAUAGUUUUUAAUUUUAUUAAAACAAAAAAUCAAGAAAAUACGUUUGAUAAUCAAAAAUUAUUUUUUAUUUUUUAAGAAUAUUAUUUAAUUAUUUUCACUUGUAUUCAUUUGUUUUUGAAGGAUUGCUUUAAAAAGUAAGUAUACAAACAUCUAAAAUGAUUUAAAAUAAAGAACUAGAUAUAAAAAAAAUCAUUUUUAAAACAUAUUUAAUAAAUAUUAAAAAUAUGUUAAAAAUAUUUUAAGUUUUAAAAUAUCAAAAACUGUUUUUUCAGAACUAUUUUAAAAAGUAAUUACUAUACUAAUCCUAAAUCAAUAUUUCUAUUUCUUUUUAACUUGGGAUUGAAAACAUUACAUACUUUUGGGGAGAGAUAUCCUUUUAUAUGGUAGAGUGGCAUUUUGCAUUUUUUUUUUCAAGCCUUAGGUGACGCAUUUAGUGCACAUCAUGUGAGAUGGCGCCACAUGGACUUGGGAAUUCUUGGGAUCCUAAAAGCAUAAAAAAAAAAUGGGAGAAUUACCCUUAAGGGUAGGCUGGGGAAAAAAAUUACUAAAAAUGGUGGGUAAAUUUGAUAAUUCUUCUGAAGGCCUUAUAUUUUUAUUAGACUAAUUUACCCUCAAUUUGACCAUUGAACCAGCCAUUGUCACCAGACAAUUGUUCCAUUUGGAUCUGCCUCUGGAAGUCCACGGGGGACACCACUGGAUCUCCAACAACAUGGCGAUCCUCCGAUCCUGGAUCCGAUCUCACUGAAUAAUCCUUGGGAAGCACAUCUGGAGCCGUGGGUGGAGGCGUUGGAUCCUGCAAUUUCACGGGGGGAGGUGGAGCGAGCCCUUUAUCCAACCCAAACAGAAAAUCCGGAUUGGUCUCAGAGGCCGCCGCUUGAGGUGAAGAACCUUCCAGAGGCUGGAUCUGCACAAAAGCCCCACUAGUCCAAAGUAAAGUCCUCACAAAGCCUUCCAAAUCUAUCCCAAUCCCCCAAAAUAUUUCAUUUCAAAGCCCCUAUAUUUAUAUUUAUGGCGUUUCCACCUUGAGAUCAGAAGCAGUACAAAUCUUUAUUUGUUACAUUCUGCUUAUUUCAUGUUUUGCCCUAAGUGUUUUGGGUUUGGGUCUGUUUGGUUGUUGAGAAAAUUUGGGAAAAAAAAAAUAAACUUGGGGUUUCAUUUUCAAUUUUUGAGUAUAGGGAAACCCAAAAACGGAAAUAAAAAAAGUCAACUCACUAGGGUUUUUCUUUUGUUUUGCUUUUCGUUUUCUCAGGAACCAAAUAGUGGGCGAUUGCAAAACUUUUCUUUGGCCGAGAAUGGUUUUGUGCUUUGCUUGGGUGGUGGGAAAAAGGUAAGGAAAGAAAAGAAAUUGAUGUCUUAGAAUAUUGAGUUUCUAGGCUCUGUUAGAGGAGUUGUUUGGGUGUUUUUUUGUUUGAGUUCAUUUUUGAGAAAAGAUUUCUAGGCUACUAAUUUUGUUUGAGAUUACAAAGAAUGUGGGUAUCGGGUAUUUGGGUUUUUGUGUGAGUUCACGUUUUUUCUUUAAUUUUUAUUUUCUACUUUCUCAGCAUCCAAACGGACCCGCAAUUGUUAUUACUAUUGUUGUAUUUGCUUGUGUUUGUGAUUAGCUAGAAGAUUUGAUGAUGAAUCAACAUGGUUUUGUUUAGAUGCAAUUGGUCUAAUUCUGAAACCCAUUUGGAAUUGGGUUGUGCCAAUUUAUUUAGUAUUAUGACUGUUGAUAGAGGUUGAUUUAGGUAAUCUGUCUGGAUGCCGAGAAGCUGGAGGAAAAUAUAUGAGAAAAAAUAUUGAAUCCUUGAACUCCUUAAUAAAUGUAAUCAUGGCAGCGGUCAAAUUUCUUAGAAAAUGCUGUUCUGAGCUACUUUCUUAUGUUCCUGGAUCCCUAGUUAAACUUGGAAUCAAUUGAGAUGUAUUUUCUGCUGUUUUGAUUCUAUUAAAAAUCAAAAACAAGUUUGAACAUAUAAUUGAUUUUGUUGAUUGUAAUGUGGGAACUGGUAGUGGACCUCCUGUUGUGGCAGUGGCAUGCACCAGAUGGGAAAAAGCAAUGUAGUUACAACUAAAGAAUUUGAUUUAUUAAACUCCAAUACUCUCAAAAAUAUAAUUAACAAUAAAUAAAGUUGGCUUUAAUGGCUAGCUCUUGUCCUUGAGAAAAAUGCUCUGACUUUAAUGGCUUAAAGGUUUCAUUUUAAAAACCUUAAAAGCCAUGUUUGCUUCAUGGAACAGGGCUUUGGGAAUGAGACUGAUAUUUUCAUUCCAUUAAUUGUCUUAUUUUGUUCUAGCAACUUGUGUGUUGCCUAUGAUUUACAUUUCAGAUUGUAGUUUUUUCUUGUUGUUUGGCUAAUUUGGAUUCACAACAUUAAUGCAUUAAAAAAAUACUAAAAAAUAAUGGUCUUGGUUGAUGAGGAAUAUUGAAUUGGUUCGUUUCCUAGAGCAACUGAAUCAUAAAGCUGUUGAUCAGUGUGCUCUUAUGCAGAUCAAACUCAAGAUGAAAACCAUUACAAUCCUGAUCCAUCAUUUUUGUCUUACCUACAAAAAUGCAUAAUAAGGCAUCUUGUGAUUUAUUUUUUGGUUUUCUGACUACUGGUCUUGUUUAAGAUUUAUGGUGUGAUGCAUUCUACAAUCUAAAGAUGCUUUCUAUAUAUGUAGUUCAAAAUAGUUCUUAAUUCUUUUGUAUGCAUUCUACAAUCUAAAGAUGCUUUCUAUAUAUGUAGUUUGCCGAAUGGGAGUCUAGGCUCUGUUGAGUGCAUUUUUCAGUUUUUCUGUGUCCUAAACCGUGACGAUUUUACUAUUCAAUCUGAUUUAGCAUUGGCUAUGCUCUGCUUUUUUUAUACAUUUGCUCAGCAACCAAGUAGAGUUGAAUCAUUAAGCGCAUGAUGCAAGAAACUAAAAGCGUUUCAAUUGUUUUUUUCUAGUUUCUUUUUGCGAUCUAGUGAGAUUUGAACUUGGCGGCGUUUUUUUUUUGUUCCCUUCUCUGGCUUGGCUCUUAGCAUUCUUCUCUGUUGAACCCGUGUUCUAUAGGCCCAUUUUUUGUUUCGCUUGUACGCUUGGAAACGUUAGAGAAAGGAAAGAAAUUAAAACGAUGAUGCUAGAUUUUUGUGGAUGUUAAAACCAAAUACAACAGGAGAUUAGAAUUUCCAUCCUAUCUUUUUUUUUUUUUUUUUUCAUUUCCUCAGUUUUCUCGUGAACUAAACAAAGUUUUUUUUCUUUUACAUACUUCUUGAACUCUAUAUACAAAUAUGCAAUUAAUCAAUUUAGUGGUUUUGCCUUUUGAAUUGCAUAAAAUUUGGUUUUUUAAGCAAUCUAAACAUUUGAUGCUUUUCUGCUUAAUUAGUGUGAUUUGCUUAAAUCAUAAUGUUUUGGAACCAAUUAUAUUUUAAUAAACUGUAGAUAGCAGUUUUUGCUUUUACUUUAGAACUAUUUGGCACUUUUGCAAAAGUUAAGAUUUCAAGUUCCCCAAGUAUUUUAUUCUGAAUUAAAGUUCUUCAUCCAUUUUGUUUUCUUAAACUUUGUAGUUCGAUUGUCUUUAUUGCUUUGGCAUUGUAUGGUUUCAUGUAUAAAGCCUUAAAGCUUUGGCCAUUAAAAUGGAAUUGGUAUUUAUUUAUUUAUUUUUCAUCUCUAAAGGAUAGAUUUGAAAGUGAUUUGUGAUCUUCAGAAUAGAUUCUGCUCGUAUUGGUAGAAAACCUGCAUUGAUUUUGGGUGUAUUUUUUAUUUGACUCUGAUUCAAUUUUAAUAAUAUUGAGUGUCCAUUGUAUGGUUUCAGCAUUGGGGAAUCACAAUCAUGAAACCAUUUGUCACGUUGAGUAGAUGAAAUAAGGUUUUUCUUAAAGAUCCCCACUUGGAUUCUUAUGGUUCCAUCAUUAAGCACUUUUUUUUUUCUUCAUGGUAUAGAUUACAAGGAAUUCCCAAAUCUUUCAGCUGUGAAAAGAGUUCAUGCUUUUUAUUUUUGCAUGAGAAUGCCCUUGCCUCAGUGGGUUUUGUUAAUUGACCUACAGUGAGAACAUACUUGCCCUUCUGGUUUUGUUAUUGGAGAAACCCUUUCAAGGAACUUUGAAUGAUCACUCAAAAUUCUUAUGCAUGCCAAUUAUCCACUUAAAUGUGAGGAUCAUUCAUGAAGAAGACAUUCAUAGGUUGUUCCAUGUUUGAAUCUUUUUAUUAAAAUAUAUCUUAAGAUUGUUGUGUAAUGCAUCCUGCACCGCUGAGUUUGGCUGUAUUCUGGCACAUCAUGUGUUGUUCCUUUUACAUAAUUGAUUUUUUUUUUAAAGUUAUUAAUGAAAUGCAUGGUUUGAGAUACUGAGUGCAUAUACAACAGUUACAUUUCAUCAUUUUUUAUAACCCGACUCUUGGUAGCUUGGCAUGUAAGGGUAUCAACAAAAUUUAUACCUAAGGUCCUUACACUAAAGUAGCAAAGCUACUAUAGCAUAGUGGCUCUAAGAUCAAACACUGGGAGGGGUUUUUACUUUAACUGGUGAAGUUCGGAGGAUGGAGUGAACUUUUCUUAAUAAAAAUUAGGUUAAGAUGAAAACAUAAAAAGAUGAAGGUGUUGUAAACUAAACUAACAUGAAAAUAGGUUAAAAGAUGGAAAAAGAAGUUUCUCAAAGCUUUGGAUAGCCAUGCUUAACUCACUAUGUAAAAAUGAAGAUUUUAGGACUCUUCACCUCGAGUUGGGGAAGCAACUAAGGUGAUGCUUACUUCCCGAAUCGGUAUGAGUUUAACAACUGAGUUUUAGUCCUUGAAAACUUACAAAAAGGGUAGCUAAACCUCAUAAAUGCUCUUUUAUUGGUAUAUGUCAUCUCCUCGACUUGCAAUACAAUGGCUCGUAGGAGAUAACUAAUGAACGUCAGUGAAUCUAACAAUAAGAAUCCACUAAGACCAAAAGGUUAUUAAGUAUUGGCCAUUCAAAGCAAGUCAGAGGGAUUAAAAGCUUUACUUUGAAUGAAAACAUUUAUGACGUUCAGCUACUUACAUUUAUGGCUUGGAAAUCUCCAUCCUGACACGGGAGCUUCACAUGGCAUCCAUUACUUCAAGAAACUAAAAGGUUUUAGCCUCUCAUCCUUGGGGAUUUCAUCCUCCAAGGAUGUUUGGCUACUAAGAAAAUGAGAAAGAAAAGAGAAAAGAAACGUAUGAACAAAAGUGCUCUUAUAACUUAUAAAGUUACAGGUUACAAGAUGAUCGUGUCUGAGGCUCUUCACCUCUAUUUAAAGACAAUAAAAAGCUAAAUUACAAGAGCUAUUACAAAAGCAACCUUUUCAUUGGUUGAUUACAAGGGUAAAAUAAGUAUUUACAAAGCUAAAAGUCAAGCAAAAAAUCUUGGAGAACCGGUAGUGGAAUAUCAUCAACAGCGUCUCAAAACAGGGGAUUUCAAAGGCAUUUCGCAAAGGGAAGAAGAUGAAAGGUCCAAAUUUCGCAAGGUGGUUUCUUCAUGGUGCGAAAUGGCCAAAUUUCGCACCAUGAGGAAAAUCCCCUUGCGAAAUUUUGGCAAGGUGAAUUGCCUCCCCUUGCAAAAUGGUGUUCCCAUUGCUUGUGCUCGUGUUUCCACUUGAAAUUCAAGCCUGUAAACGUCCAAAAUCCUUGCUUAACUCGCCCAAGUAGCUCCUCCAUCAAUUGGCAUGCUUGAAUUGGUUCAUAAGCUGAUGAAAAACAUGUAAACUUGCCACUAAAAAUGGUUAGAACUAAUUACUAAGGAGCUUAAUGAAUUAAUUGGGUUAAAUGAAUAUGAUUACUACUCAAAAGUGCUUAAAACCCUUAUAAUUAGGUAUACAAAAUAGCACUUUUCGGUAGUAAUCACUUUCCCAUAGUUUGCUUAUCCAUAUUUACAGUUAAUAGUCAAAUCAAGUUGUAAUUCUAAUAUCUGUGCCAGAAAAUUGUAAUAAUGUGAAAUUACUUUAUCAAAGUAGAUUGGCAUAAUGUAUACUGAUUGAUCUUGUUGGGCAUUGGUGAUGGAAGAACUAUUCAUUUAUUUUUAUUUUCUGCCUUGUGGAACCAAAAUUUGAUAGUUUAUAAUGAAAGAAAACGUAUCUAUAAGAUAAGAUUGUUUUUUUCAAUAAUUAUAUUUGGGUUGGCAAAGCCCAUUUUGUGUUGUCUCUCAUCAUUGACCCCGAGGCUGAAGGAGUACAAAACAGUACAUGGACAUGAUGCAUCCCCCUUUCACUUAUUAAUGACCUACCAUGGACUGCUUGAUGAAAAUUCCAUGCCCCAUUGUCUGUCUAAAUCUCUUAAGACCCUAUGCAUCUGAAAAGAGAAGAAACAAAUUAAAUCAGAAUAAAUAACUUUUGUAUUACACAGGCCAAAGCAUAAUCUCACAUAUUGGCCUCAUCUUAUUGAUAGAGGCACAUCAAUGUGACUAACUUCUCACCAAAUGGAAAGAACCCUAGACUUAUUUCUCUCCUCUGCAUGUCAAUUUCCUUCCCCACUUCAGUCUGCAUCUUCCAAACAAAAAUUAUGCAUGCUAUUUAAUACAAUGGAAAUUUCAACUACAAAGGCAAAAAAGAAUGCCAUUUAUUAUAAUUGAAAUUUAACGGUUACAAUGCUUCCUAGACAAUGACUUGCAGGAAGGCUUUAUCCAAAUAAAAGAAAGAGCCUCACAAAAAUAGAAAAACAGGACCAUAUUACAUUAUUUUAAAGAGAUGCAAGAUAUAGUUCUUAAAGCAUAUAUAAUGGUACAAAAGAGGUCACUUUCUCCAGGAACCUAGAAGAUACAACCAGACUGGAGGCAUCCUUCUACAUAUGAAGUACUUAACAUAAAAGCCAAAUAGUAGCUAGCAAUCUGAAAAUUAUCCAUACCCAGGUGAUCCAUCCCAUCAAAAUAUGGUGGAAUUGAUUAUAGGGCAUGAAACAAACUUCACUCUUUACCGUCAGGCUAAGGUUAUUUCUUUAGGAUUGUGUUUCCAAUAUUGUCUUAGGGUAUAUUGGACAUUAUUUUUUAAUGCAAACAAAAUAUCAUCUCUUUUUUUGCAUUUCAAUUCUUUCGAAUUUAAUAUAUAUUCUUGGGAGUUGUCAAACACCAUAUUGGAUGGCCAAGAGACAUAGCAUAUGAAAAAAUAAACAUAAAUAUAUUAAAUUAUAUUGUAAUAUAUUGUAACGUUAGUGUAUUUGUAUUGUAAGUAUAAUGCAUUUAUGUUGUACCUAGUUUGUAUAAAUUAUAUAUGAUUUAAAAGGUUAGCCAUGAUGAGCAUUAACAAUUUGUACAUAUUGGAUUAUCAUCAAACAACUUAAAUUUGUUAUCCACUAAUACAAUGGCUCUGUGUGUUUUUAGUAGCAUGUAUGUAACUGUAUUUGGGAUCACUAAUAGUAGUUAAACCAAAAUAAAUAAGGGUACAAUACAAAUGCCCUACAUUUACAAUACAAUUGCACUAGAAGUACAAUAUAUUACAACAUUACUUGAUUCAUUAUACAUUUAAUUAUGACAAUUGAUUAUUUGAUAUAAAUUCCAUAGUGCAGUGUGGAGUAUAAUACAUGGAUAAAAGGAAAAAAACAAUACAAUACAACCAGGUUUGAACAUUAUUUUAAUUAGUAUUAUUUUAUUUUGACUAUAUUAAUGUUUGACAUUGUUGUUUAAUUUGACUAUUUUAAUUUUAAUUUUAUAUUAUCAUUUAUUUACUUUUACAGGAGGUCAAAAUAAAUAGUCGAUGCUCCAGCAAAAAACUUAGACAUCUACUUGAUGAGCUAAGUGAUGAAAAGAAGAGUAUAAUUCAACAUAUUGGCUUUGGUGGAUUACUUCAGCUCUCUUCCACAGAGAUAAGGCAUAGCUUAUGUAGAUGGAUAAUAACUCAUUUCAAUAUAGCCCACUGUAGGUUAGACAUAGGACAAGAAAGGCAAUUUCCAAUAACUUGUUCUGAUGUAGGUGAAAUUCUGGGUAUUCCAUAUAUUGGUAGGAGGCUAAAUAAUGAUAAGAUCAUAAGUCUAAAAUAGUGGCAUAUGUAAUACAAACAUCUUUGUCAUGACAAUCAAGUAAAUAAGUAAGUUCCAAAACAAAUUCUUACAGAUUCUAAUUUCAUAAACGACACAUAUCAUCACAAUCAAAAUAAGAUAAAAAGUAGCAUGUCACCAAACAAGCAUAACACUAGAAUCAUGGAGCGGGUAAUGGAUUUUUGCAUGAAGCUCGAUUAUGGCCUGCAACUUGACAUCAUGAACAGAAGAUAAGCCUUUUUGAACUAAAUUGAGACUCUAUUCGACGAUGUCGAGGCCUUCCAAGUGGUCGUUUUGAGCAUGGAGGUUUAAGUGAAGGAUAUAAGCGACCUUGAGCAUCACGAACACAUCCAUCAGUAUCAACUAUAGGCAUAUUGUGAUUUGGAAUUGAAUUGAAGUGUCCAGAAUAUAUCAACUCUUGCAUUGGAAGCUUGAAAUAUGAGUCAACAUAUUCAUAAACAUCUUGUUUCAUCUGGCGUAUUGCUGCACAUGCAUGCUCACAAGGUAUUCCGGCCAUUUGCCAAGCCUUACAAGUACAUGUAUGCUCUCUCAAAUUCAUGUCUACAUAUACUUUCAUAUUGAAUACCUUAAACACACCACCAACAUAGGGAUAUACAGGCAAUGACCCACUCUUUAUAAUGUUUUCCAACAACUUUUCCUCGGUCUUUGGGCCAAUUGCAGCUUUCCAAUUUUCUGUAGAACCCAUAUGAUCACAUGCUAGAUGAGCAAACUUAUCCAUGUGUCAUUACUAAGUUGAAAAUUGUGUAAUGACGUUCCUCCUUCAACCAAGCAUUGAAUGAUUCAGCAAGAUUAGUUGUCAUCUUAUCCCAUCGUUUUUUGGCAAACUUUGACAUUGCCCAAUGUUGUGGACUAUUCUCUUCAACCCACUUCGCUAGGUCACUGUUAUAUGUCUUUAAUUUUUCCAUGGCUACAACAUAAUCAUCAUCCAACCUAGCAUACGCAACAUUAUCAAGCAGCAACAAUGCAUCCAUUUUAUAUUUUUUUCCCCUUCAUACUAUGUUUCGUCACAUAGCUACUAAAAUUCUCUUUCACAUGACGAUAACAAUAUGCAUGAUUUUCUACUCCAAAAAGUUGAGAAACACUACGAAGGAUUGCUUGAUGCCUAUCUGAUAUUAUGACUACCUCUUUAUCUUGAAGUAUGCCCUUCAAUUUCUGCAAAAACCAUAGUCAAUCCUCAUAGUUUUAUGAACUUACAACACCAAAUGCAAUUGGGAACAUGUCAUCAUCAGCAUCAUAAGCUGUUGCAGAAAAUAAAGAGCCCCUAUACGGUCCACUCAAAUGAGUUGAGUCAAUUGCAAUAACAGGUCGACAACCCAUUAAAAACCCUUGAAUUGAAAAAAAAUGUGCAAUGAACAAUUGCCAAAAAUGCCCAUCUUGUUUGCUAUAUUCAGCAAUCGUCCUUGGAUUAAUGUCUACCAAUCUCUGACAUAACCAUGGCAACAACAUAUAUGAGUUUUCUGGAAGACCAUAUAUUCUCUCUUUUGCCAUUUCUUUGUAUGUCCAAGCUUGCUUAUAACUCAAUGAAACACCAUACCGACUCCUGAAGUCUUUGCAAAUUUGACGGGGCAAAUACUGAGGGGUUGCCCUUAUUACUUGCUCUAUAACAUGAGCACAUCUCCUUCCCCGCAUUGAAGGUUGGCUUGAACACUCAACAUAUGCACAAUGAUUGUGUACAUCAAUGAAGAUGUUAACCUUCAAAAUUUUGGUUGUGCCUACUGAAUUAGCAGUUAUUCUCCAAGGGCACCCAUCCACUAAACAACACACAGAUAUUCGCUUUGGAGAGUUCUUUUUGAAUUUGUAUUGAAAUCUACCAACUAAUGACAUCGUAUAUAAUGCAUUUCUAAAUUCAUCUGCAUUAGGAAAACUAUGCCCACUCCCAAUAAUAGGUUGAGGACAAAGACUUAAAUCAUGUGGCAUAACUUCAGUUUCUGCACAUCUGGACAUGAAGCCUUGAGAAAGUCCUAAAUUAGACUCAUUGUUUGCUUGACAUGAUGCAACUGAAUUGUGUGUUUCCUCCGUACUAUUGUGAUUGCAUAUUAUAGCACACUCAGUUAAUUAAUAUUAAAAGCACUUUGCAUCAUGGAAUUAAUUACAACUAAUACAAGAUAUAUCACUUAUCAAUAAUCAUUUUGCACAUUGACUAUACCUCCUUCAACCUCUACUCUUCGAGUCCAUUUUAAUACAUAAAUACGAGCAUAAUCAUAACUAUGGGAUAACAUCAUAUGCAUGUCCUCAUCAUCAUCCAACUGUUGAAGUGCAGAUGGAUCAAACUCAAGGGUGUAAUGAAAUGUAUAUCCAUUUGAAUUAAUAUCCAACCGUUCACAUGCCUUUGAAACAAAUUCAGCAUAUGACAUCCUUUGUCCAAUGUACAUGCCUUUUUGUUGUCCACCCUUGUAUUGUAUUUGUUUAUCCUCCUUAGGUACAAUCUCCCCUCCUUCAUGAAGGUAGCCAUAAAUGGAAUUUUCCAAGUCUAUUUACCAAUUCAAAAGUACGUCUUCUUUCACCGACAAUCAAAUCAAUCUAUUUCACAAUAUUACAAUCAAUGAAAAUUUUACAACGAAUACAAAAUAAACAAAUGAAAAUUAUAAUCAAUUCAGACAUAUUUUAUAUAAUAAAUAACAACAUUUGUUGUAUAUUAUACAUGUUAGGGAUAUGCCAAAGAACCCAUAAUUGCCCAGUUUCAUAAGAAAUUUGAUAUUUUCAAAAUUUUAUCUUAUCAUAAUGUAUCGUAAUGUUAUUGUAUUUGUAUUGUAAUUGUACUGUAUUUUUAUUAUACCUCUAUAUUUUUAUAUAAAAAAAAUUAAUUUUAUAGAUUUUUUUUUUAUCCAUCAUUGGAUUAUCAUCAACAACUAUUUCACAAUAUUACAAUCAAUGAAAAUUUUACAACGAAUACAAAAUAAACAAAUGAAAAUUAUAAUCAAUUGAGAGACAUAUUUUAUAUAAUAAAUAACAAUAUUUGUUGUAUAUUAUACAUGUUAGGGAUAUGCCAAAGAACCCAUAAUUGCCCAGUUUCAUAAGAAAUUUGACAUUUUCAAAAUUUUACCUUAUCGUAAUGUAUCGUAAUGUUAUUGUAUUUGUAUUGUAAUUGUACUGUAUUUUUAUUAUACCUCUAUAUUUUUAUAUAAACAAAAUUAAUUUUAUAGAUUUUUUUUUAUCCAUCAUUGGAUUAUCAUCAACAACUUCAUGUAUUGAAAUUACAAUAGUGUAUUUUUGUUGUUGUUUUUUUUUAUAAUUUUGGCUUGCAAGGAUGCUUUAUGAUAGGAAUACAACAUGAUAGCCUAGAAAUGCCAAUUCAAUAAAAAAUAAUUCAAUAUUUUGUCAUAUUGGUAUAUUGUAAUGUAUCAUAAUGUUAAUAUUUUUUCAUUGUAACUAUAUUGCAUUUGUAUUGUACUUAUACUUUAUAACUGAAAUAAUGAUUCUUUUACACAACCUUCAAACUACUAGGCAUUCGACUCAUCAUACCAAAAUAAUACUUAUACAAAAAGGUAACAAAUUUAUAACAAAAAUAUAGUGAUCUUAACUCUUUAACAAAUUCAUAAUAAAAGACAAAGUGAUCUCGUACAAAGGGGAUUUCAGUUUUCAAUGACAAUCCAAAUAUGUUUAUAAAUACACAAACAAAGUGGUCCCAAACAAGCAUGAAACAACUAAGAACAUUUUUUCUUCAAUCAUGUCAAAAAGUCUUAACAACAAAACUAAAGUGCAAACCUUUUCAAUGGAAAUCAAUAAUAAUCAUAUCAAACAACCCACCCAGCAAAUAAAUUAAAAAUAAAAACACAUUUUCAAUAUGACCUAAAUAAUAUAAAAAAAUUCAAAAUAAUAAAUUUAAAUAACAUUUAAAAAAAAUGUAAUUUAUUUCUCAAAACCUCAUUCAAUAUUUCAAAUCUAAUAUCUUACAGCUACAUUAUUAAAAUUAUUAACUUUUCCUUCAUUCAAUCCGAUUUUUAAAUUAUUUAUUUAUUUUUCCAUAAAUUGACGUUUUUUUUUGUAUUAAAAAAAAAAACUGACCUUUAAUGGAUUUCUUGCUAGAUUCACAAAAAAAAAAAAACAAGUUUUGUGUAUCGGUUGCAGAGAAUGACCUGAAGUGCGCACCUUUUUCCUUUCCCCUUUUUCUUCUACAACUCGACUCCAGGUAGGUUAAAGAAAGGGAGAAUAAACUCUUUUUUAUUUUCUGUUGCUUUUCACUUAUUAAGGGUAGUAUUGGCAUUUAAACAAAAUAAGGCCUUUGGAGGAAUUAUCAUAAUUUUACCCUACCCUUUAGAAGAAUUAUCAAAUUUACCCAUCCUCAUUGGUCAUUUUUUUCCCCGCCUACCCUUUUAAGGGUAAUUCUCCCAAAAAAAAAAAAAAGUUCACAUGAGUCACUUAGACCAAUAGUUAAUAUAAUACUAAACUUUUAAUUUUGAAAAAAUCAUCAUCAUUGCAUUGCAUCUGUCUGAACCAACGGUACAAAUUUUUUUGUUUUUGUUGUUUGGCAUUGGUAUUAAUUAUUAAAUUGACCAAUAGAGGUCAUGACAUUCAUGACAUACGGCGAUGGAGGAUGAAGAAGAUUCAAUUGCCUCAAAAGUCAAAAGAUUCUCAGAUGGCUAGGAGCCUAGGGUCUUUUCUCUUGUUUGGUUUCCGACAUAUUUUCCUCCCUCACAGCCUUGGCUGGGUUAGGCAAAUGGCAUCCACUCUCCACCACAAUUCACUGUUCACACUUGACACACGCUGCAGAAUCUAGAAGGUGUCUCCCCCAUCCCCCAUCACCCAUCACCCAUCACCAUUCACAGAACACAGAUAAUGGCUAGACUCUAGAGGUCCACCCUACCAAAACUUCCCCCUACCCUCCCACUUGCUGGGCACUGACUUGAUUCCAUCAGAUUAAAAGGUGGAGGAGGAGGUAUCCAAAUGGUAAUCAUUUCAACGACCACUCAUACAUUUCAAAGGUCUUGCCCCCACCUCACCUCUGCAUUGCCCCCAAAGGCCGUUUUUCUUUCCUUUCACGACUUGUACUUGUACAAGUCUGUAGAGCUUUGUUUGUCUCAACUCCAAAAGCAAAAUUUCUGGUCUUAUUGGGCCAGGUUUACAGGUUUCUUCGUUAUCUUUUUUUUUUUUUCUUUUUUUUAUUAUAAAAAAUAUAUAUAUAUUUGGUAACCUACUCCUGUUGGAGUUGGGAGAAUGUCGUGGUCCUAAAUGGACGGAAAGGGGCAGCACCAAUAUGAAUAUAAAAAAGAACAGAUUAAAAGGCAAAAAGGGCAGCCAACUUCAUCUGCUAUUAUGCAUAUGGAUGUGGCAUAACGUUAGGAUAUAUUAUACAUAUGUUUCAUAUCACCCACUUGGCCAGUUAAAGGACCAAGACCCAAUGAAUGUUGCUACAGAGAACACAACUCAUUCAGCCAUUUUUGUUUCCUAAAUAUUAUCUUAGAAGCCACUGAAUCCUUCACAGCAGCUUCUCAAAAUGAAAGAGAUGCUUGCGGACACGGUAUGUAUGUAAAGUGUAGAGUAGAGCAGCCACCGUUACAGCAGAAAAGGAUAACAAUGUCAACUUCCAGAAGUCCUGAUAAUAGUCCAAUAAUUCAAACCAAGUCAGUGCAAAUAAAUAGUGAGAUAUCUGCUAAAAAAUUGUUUAGCUUUCGUUUCUUUCAUCUUUUCUAAUGCUUACACUUCACAUGAGACUUCCAAUUCAAAAUUAAUUGAUGGUUAGAAGGUCAUGAGAGAUGGAAAAGGAACUUGUGAGAUGAUAAGGCCCGCCUAGGUUACAAACUAAGGGAAGGACAUGGGAUCGCCAUAAGAGAAAAUUUGUGGUGCUUAGCUUAACUAAAAUCAAGCUAGAACAUUGAUGGAAGGAUUGAAUAUUGAGUUUAAGUUUUUCCUUUGGGUUUGAAGAAGAAAAAGACAUGGUUUCUAAGCUUGCAUGUUUGAGCUUUGAUACCAUGAAAAACCAUACAGAGAAUUGUUUUAGGGAAGCAUUAAUCUUUCUUUAAUGAAUAUGUACAAAUAUAUACAUGUAAGAGGCUUCAUUUACAUGAUAAUUGAUCAAUCAAAAUUUGAAAUUACAGGAGCUACCAAAGGAAAUCUGAAUAAGUUCCAACUAAGGGAAAUCAACUGUUGACCAAGAGCCUUGAUUGAUCAUUGGCUGGAUUUUGUGAAUGAUUGGAGGAAAUAAUUCCAGGACUAUUACAUUGAAUAUCCCCAUAAUCGUACGAAUUAUUAUUGAAAUUAUUUUCCUUAACAUUAUUUCCUUUAACCUUAGCAAAAGCUGACCAAUAAAUUUGUUAGGUAAACAGAAGUUCGUAUGUUAGGAGUCCCUGUUUCCCAUUGAAAUGCAUUUCCUAGUAACUAAGAUGUUAUCCAUGUCUGCUCAGUAAAAUAAAGAGAAUAGGCACUAUCCAUUACAAAUAAAUUUAAUGACGAAGGAAUAUUGAACAUAUUUUACAAAGCCAAUCUAGGAUUAGAUGUGAAUGCCAAAGAUCAUGCUGUAUUGACAUUAGUCACAAGAACUAGAUUAUCUAACAACUUUCUCCAGGUUGUAUUAGAAUCAGAAAGGCAUUUCUGCUAUACAUUGAUCACUAUGGCCUUGACCUAUUCGUGUGACCAAAAAUCACUCUUGUUUUACAAAUUAUGGAGAUAAACAUAUUAUUUCCAAACGUGUGCAUGUGCCAAUGUGUUUGUGCAUUUCUAAAAAAGAACAUAUUUACUGGGGCAAUUUCAGGAAUCUAGGAAAUGUGGGCAUGGAUUGGUAUCUGUUGAAGUGCUGAAGCAACAAAGCAAAUGGUAAGAAUAAUCACCUGUGGAUUCGAUAUAAUUAUUCCCAUGACAUAAGCCAUCAAAUCUAAAUAAGACUGGAGCGAGUUUUGAACGCCUCCCACGACACAACGAUCAGAUUCAGGAACACCAUCCUGUCCAAAAGGUGGGAAAAGAAAGAAAGAACCAUAAACAAAAGAAAACCUGUAUCUUAAGAAAAGGAAGGAAACUCAUUUUGAUAUAUCGAAGAAAAGCAAGGUCAGGUUGCCCUUUUAACAAAUGCAGAUGCUGAGCUCAGAGAUCAUAUAAUGGCUCAGCACUAGUUUUUUUUACCUGCAUUUGUUGGGUGACAGACAAGUCAAACAUCCACAAUCCCAGACGGGAAGUUGCCACUCCAACCAUUGGCAAAUAUGCUGAUAUGAUAUGGUUAUGGAUCCAUAUUGAAGCAACACAUAAUAGGAGGAAGGCCCACUGCAAGAAAACCACACAGAUACCAACAUAAUUCACAUAAAUAGUGGUCAGCAAGUAGUAGUAACUUUGAGGAGAAAUAACUUCUCAGUAGCACCUGGAACAAUUGAAAGCAUGACUAGUUUCUAGGCAUGUAACUUCAAGGAAACACUUAUAUUUUAACCACCAAAAUGAACCAUUUUUAGACCACUGAAAUUGAUACCUGAGACCAGAUGGACCAAAGUCCAGUUCGAAGAGUUGAGAUGUGAGAUUGUAAGAUUGGGUACACAAAUGUUGCAGCUAUUCCAAUUGCAGCGCUUAUUCCUCGUGCUAUUCCGAUAACAUAUGCAGGAAUACCUUCCCAUUGCAGGGCAACUGUCAUCAAAGUCCCAAAGCUGGAGAAACAAAUUCAGUGCGUCUGCUUAACAAAUGAUAGGAACUGGAGCCAAAGCCAAAAGACAGUAUGAUAUAAAUGUAACAGGUUGAGGGUAUGUUUGGAAGCAGCUUCAUGGAAAAAUAGUUUCUCAUAGCCACAGAAGUUUGUCAUGCAGCAUGAAUCCUACUUCUUGAGAGGAAUUACAAAGAAGAAAAUUUUGAUAAAAUCAUCAUUUCUGUACUUCAACUUCAAAUUUUCUUUAGGAAAGAGACUGAAAUAAACUUGAAAAUCAAGUCUCCUUUGAAGUUUUAUCCAAACACCCCUAUUAAACAGGGCAUUUAUCUACUUAUUCAUUAAGAAAAGCAAUGCUCACUAGGGGUAAUCACCUGAGAACAGUAAAAUACAGUAAUGCUAGAGCUACUCCUGAAAGCACCACAUCUUGCCGUAAGUACACAUUCCAUGCAGAAAUACAGAGGACCUUCCAAACGCAUUUAAUCAUUUUUCUUUUCCAGCUGUUAUCUGCCAAGGGUGAGCUAUUUACCCCUUGACAAGCAGAUGUACUCUCCCCUGCUGAUCUCUCUGCAAUUUUAGAGGUCCUUUUCUGGUUGCUUUCUCUUAAUGCUGGAAUUCCAUUAUAUACAGACAUUAGAAGCCAAUACUGCAACCAGACAGAUACAGUGUUCCAGAUUGCCAAAGUCAUAGCAGAUGCUUUCAAUGAUACAAAGCUGAUAAUGAAGCCAGUAACUACAGGAGCAAAUAACUUGCAGGUUAAAUCAAUCCGUCUUAAUACUGAGUUCAUCCUUGUCAGUACAUCAGGAGGGUGCCCUUCUGACAUCACCACUACCCUAAAAUUUGAAAACAACCUUAACAGAAUUAGAUUGACUCAAUAAACAAGCACAAGAAAUUUCAGGAUCAUACAAUCCUUUGAGGUUGAAAAUGAAAUCCUAACAACUAAAAUAAUUAUAAAACGUUGUCCACUUCUUUUUCUUAUAAGCAUGUAUGAAAUUACCACUCUCUUUCGAUCAAGAUGGAACCGGCAAGAGUGGAGAGCACACCGACAGCUCCAGAGAUAUUGGUUAAUGCGACAAUAGUGAUGAAAGCUGCCAAAUUGGUAUGCUUCAAGCUUGAGAAGAACAGUAAUCCUACCACUGCAGCCCCAGCAACCACAAAAGAGAGAUUUUGUGUCCACAACCAAAGUUGGAGAACCUGCCAAAGGAUGAUCCCCAUGUAAGCUUCUCAAAUGGUCUAAAUUGAUUAUUGGUGGCCAGUGUAACAUGCAGGACCGAGUAAACCCACCUUAAUUGAUUGUUGCAUUAGUUAAGCUAACCAGGAUUUUCAGUUAAAUUUCUCAAAAUAAGUUUUGCUUUCAAAAGGUAGUUUUGAAAAAUCCAUACAUCAGGAUGUUUUCCAGCUGAACUGAUAUCCAAAUAGUGUCAAAAGCACAAAGAAUAGAGGUUGAGCAAACCUUUACAUAUGUUAAUCUAUCCAACCACUGUCCAAUGCUAGGACCAAGGAAAGCAGUAGAAGCAGACUCCACCACACCAUAAACAGCAGCAAGUAGCAAAGAGUUGGGCCAUAUAUUGAUCAUGUACAAACCAACAGAAAACUCCCACAUUCUGCAACAAGAAAAGAUCCAAAAGGAACCCAGUAUUAAAUUAUGCAAGAAUUAUGAGAAGCAUGUGGCUGAGAUAACAACCCCAUUCAUCAUGUUACAACUAUAUUAAGUACUAGGUAAUUUUGCGUCCGGAUUGAAUGUUCCUAACCAUCCAAUCUACCAACCUCAAAUAUUUUUAUGAUCAAUGGUCAAUAAAAGCCUCAAAUGAUUAUUGGGGCACUGUCUAGACUCUAGUAGCAUUUGAAGCGAGAAAAUUGUAAAUUUGUAGCAUUUAUAGGAUUAGAAUAGCCUGUUUCUGAUGUUAAUUGGGAUUUCAUACCAAAGACAUAACAGAACCACUCCAUUUUCAUAAAAGAACUUCAAAAUUCACCCAGCAAGCUGAUUGCUUGGGAACACCAGGUCCUUUCCCGUGUUACUAAUGUAGCCUUUACAUGCAAAGAAAGGGAAAUUAUUUUCCUCUUUUUCUUCCUCUUCCUCACAAAUAUGUCACAUUACACUUCAAAGAUUUCAAUUCAGCAGCCCACACGGGCCUGGGAUCAGCCUCAAUAAAUGAGUUGACUCAAAAAUCCAACACUAUGAAUAUAUGUAUAUAAGAUUUUAUCAAACAAUUUAUGUUCAUGAAUUGGAGUUGCUAAUUGCCUUCGAAAUGAAAACCCAUUAAAGAUCUGAGACAGCAGAAAAAAAAAAAUAAAAAAAAUCAACACCUAAAUUGUAAAAAACCAUACAAAAGAAAAGAAAUUUCGAACUCGUUUAGACUGAUGAUUAUCAGAAACCCACUUAUGUGAGAACAAAUAAUUUUGAAUUAUGUGAAAAAUGAGAAGUAAAUCCACAGAAAUCUGAAAAUAAUUCAAAAACCCCAAAAAUGUAAUAGUAGGAAACGCAGAAACACUCUCAAUGAACCCAGACAUUACCAUUGACGAAAAGGAAAGUACCCACAUAAUAACAUCAUAAGAUUACCCAUUUCCAGUUAAAAAUAAUCCAAAUUCCCAGCUAUAUUUGGUUUUGAAAAUUUUGAGGGAAAGAAAAUAGAGUGAAAAAUAUUUUUUUUUUAAAUCUGAUUUUUCAUAAAUACAAAAAUAAAAAUAAAAUUGAAUAAAUCUGAUUUUUCAUAAAUACAAAAAUAAAUAAAAAUGAGAAGUACUUUUUUUCUUUUUUUCAAACUUUCCUCAAAAAAAGCUCCCUACAUUUUUUCCUUUUUUUUUCUCUUCACAAUUUUUCCCUUUUUUUUUCACUAUUUUUUAAUAGUAUCUAAAAUUAUCUUUGUUUAACAUUUUUUUUCCCUUUUGUUUAAUAUUACAUUGGCUAAGCAAAAUGGAUGAGAAAGAGAGGAGGAUGAAUCAAUGUUGAAAGAGAAAUAAACCUGGCACCCCAUCUAGCCAAAAAAUGGCCAACAUACAGAUAUAUGAUGAGAGAUGACGGCAAGAGAGGGGGCUGAGCAGGUUGCUGUUCUUCUUCUUCUUCUUCUUUGGGAUCAGGAAGUGGCUCCCUCGUCCUCAUGUCUCCUUCCAUUUGAGGUUCUUCUUCUAUCCGCUUUGUUCAACCUUUAUGAUGAUGGUGGUCUCUCCUUCAUGAUGGUGGUGAGUGUAGUGACCAUGCUUCUUUAGUCUUCAUCUUGAUGAUGAAAGUGAAAAUGCAUCGUCAGUUUCAUGAAUACUAAAAUACGGAUGUAUGCUAAAAUACGGAUGUGUUAUGUUGGGGUUCCUCUCCAUGUGUGUUACGUGGGGGGUCACUUUCAAGCUCAAGACCUGUCGAGGACAAAUAUGUAACCUACUCGGGAUCAUUUCGUUCAAGCGAAGAUAAGUUCCGUCUAGCACCAUGAGAGAGUUCCCUUAGACGAAAUAAGCAUGAAUUCCCAAAUGGGAAAUGACCAUCUAGUCAAGUCUUAAAGAUUUCUGGCAUACGUGAUCAUUCACGCCUGACAUCUAAGCGACCGACGAGACUCCACUUAGCCCACAAGUUCAUGUCCAUUAAUUGUUGCACAUAAUCUCAAACGUUGACAAGCUGAAUGGAUAGGCAACUCUUGACACGUCAACAGACCUAUCAGUAGUCCUUAUUUGAGAUGAUUGCCCAACCGCCUUAAGGACAAUCAUCAUUACAAAAAGAGGAAGAGUGCAUAGUUAGCACUACAAUGUCCACGACUCUAUAUAAACCCUCCAAAAAACACGAGCAAGGUACGCGUGCACACAUAUGCCUAUUUUUUCCCUCAAAAUAGUUAGAGCUACUCUUGUUUGACUUAAGCUUUAAAGGGACGUACCCGGAUCACCCGUUCAGACAUCUUUUUGUGUAGGAAAGAAGUUCGUCUAGCUCUAAUACAACUGAACGGACUCUCCAAGUAGUACGAAAAAGGGAAGAAGUCCGUCUAACUUCAGUAAGGCUAGAUGGACCUAACUCUAGUUGGCUUAGCUUUAACAUUAUUGAUAGAGAUGGUUUGCUGCUUCCACAGGGAACGAAGGAGUUCAUUGAACGUACAUGGACAGGCAAGGGGUUUUGGAAGCGUGGAAAUAACAUUGACCUACACUAUCGACUUGGUUAAGAAAGGAAAAAUAACUACACCCCUUUUGUUUUCUUUUACAUUCAUUUUCCGAGAAAAUAAAUAAAUUUAAAAUCAAUAAAUAUUUUCAUAUAUCACUUUAAACUUAUUUUGUUAAUUUUAUUCCUUUGAUAUAAAAAUCAAAUAAUUUUAAAAACCAUUUCUUUUCCUGUUAUAUUAAUCUUAUGUUCGGAUCGAAAAAUAUUAAAGAAGAAAAAAAAUAUUAAAAAAAUAAUUUUUUAUGUUUGAUUUCAUAAUAAGAAAUACAAAAGAAAAUAAAAUAUAAUUAAAUUUAUAAAAAAAAAUUUAUAUAUUUUUAAAAUAUUUGAUUUUUUUAUAAUAGAAAAAAAUUGAGUAAAAUAAAUUUGAAGAAUCAUAUUAAAAAACUUAUUAAGAUUAUAUUUUAUUUCUGAAAAAUAAUGUAAAAGAAAAUAAUUUUUUCAUUCUGGUUUUAAUAUAAAAAAUAGGAAAAAAAAUUAAAUAUAAUUAAAAUUAGAUAAAAAAUUAUAUAUUUUUAAAUUAUUUAAUCUUCACCUAGAGGAAAAAUAAAUGAAAUAAAUUUGAAGUAAGGAAUAAAAUAAUUUAUUAAUUUUAAAUAUAUAUUUUUUAUUUUUCUUCACUUUUUUUUUCAUUUAAUUUUUAUCUCCAUUUUUUUCUUAAACAUUUUCCUUCAUAUUUUCUAAAAACCAAACAUCACCUAAGUUUAAACUUUUUUUUUUUUCAUUUCUUCUACUUUUCCUCUUUAUUUUCUUUCUCUCACAUUUUUCUUUAAAUUUUCUAAGAACCAAACAGAGCUACAAGAAUUAAACAAAAUCUACAUGUAUGGAGUUUUUGUUUUUGGAUGAGGUAAAACACAAUUUAUAAAUUAUUUUUCCAGACAACAACGUUGAACUUGAUUUCUCCGAAAAUGUCUAAGAAUGGUUUGUCGCAUUAGGAUUUUUUAUAAAUAUACCGUUAUUGGGGAAAGUAAUUUUUAAAAUGCUGUAGAUUGGAAAAUAAUUUCAAUUCUAAGGCAUUUUUUUACACGUAGGAUGAGAGUGAAAAAAAAGUAGCAUUUUCUAAUUGAAAAGAUGUGCAAACCCAUUUCCUCGCCGUUUUCUCCUCUUCUAUGCGUCAAAACUCAGAAAACCCAUUUCCCCGUACACUGAUCAUGGAGUGGAGCUCCUUGCAUCAACACAAUAGAAAGGAAGUGAAGUGCAGAUCUGAGACACCCAUUGCCUUUUCGGUAAGUUUUGUGGUUAUAUUUGGUGGUGUGGUUGUGUUUGGUUACCGAGAAAGUGUGGUAAAGUUGAAAAAAAAUAAAGUUUUCUGUUUUUUUUUUUUUUUACAAUGAAACCGAGUAGACUAAAAAUUAUGGAGAAAGUUUUCAUUUUUUUUGUGGUUCGGCUUGUUGUGAUUCUGUUUGGUUGCCAAGAAAGUGUGGGAAAGUUGAAAAUUUUGAGGUUCUGCUUGUGGGUGAGCUUGUUGUGAUUCUAUUUGCUAUCUGUUAAUAUUUUAACUACUGCAUUGGCAUGGAUUUGUUUCAUCUCAAACUAUGACCCAGUUAUUGAUUAACUGAGACAACCAUUAGUUGAUAAUGCAUGGAAAUUUGAUGUUACUGUGUGCAAGGUUUGAAAUGUCGAAAAAUUUCGUCGCAUAUCGGCCGGCUCCGACACAAUAUUCGUCACCGACGGAAAUUUCGAUAAUUUUUCGAAAAUAUCGUCGGUAUUUUUACCGAUUUUUCGGGGAAUUUCCCGAUAUUUCCUAUCAGUCCAGCCGCGCACAGGAUACAAAAUCUGUCCAUUUUUUUAUUUUUUUAUUUAAAAACAUAAGAUGCUAUUUGGUAAUCUGAUCAUGAUGUUUUUAUCGGUAUUUUUAACGAUUUUUCGGGAAAUUUCCCGAUAUUUCCUACCAGUCCAGCCGCGCACAGGACACAAAAUCUGUCCAUUUAAAAAAAAAAAAAAAGCAUAAGAUGCUAUUUGGUAAUUUGAUCAUGAUUUGCAGGAAAGGUUGUGUUUUUCAAUCUGGCUAAAAAAUCGUGGAUUUAGGGUUCGUGAAAUUUUAAUCCAAUGGCACAAAAGCAAAGGAGACCCCCAGAACAGGUCCAGAAAACAAGCAAAAAAAAAAAAAAGCAAUUUUUUUGGUUUUCCUUGGGGUUUUUGCAUGGAUUUUCUCGGAAAUCAAACGAGGAUGAAUUUUCCCGGAAAUCAAAUGGGGGAUAGAUUUUCUUGGGAAUCAAACGGGGGUUGCAAAAAAAAAAUAAUAAUAAGAUGAUUAGAUUAGUACCUGCGAGGAUUGAGAGUGGCAGGGGAAAAUGGGUCCUUUUUUAGGAUUCUCUCGUCUGGAGGGCAACUUCAGAAAAGGGGAGAAGUGGGUCACCCUUAGAACAAGCAAAAAAAAAAGAAAAAAAAAAAAAACAAUUUUUUUUAGUUUUCCUUGGGGUUUUGCAUGGAUUUUCUCGGAAAUCAUACGAGGAUGAAUUUUCCCGGAAAUAGAAUGGGGGAUGGAUUUUCUUGGGAAUCAAACGAGUUGCAAAAAAAUAUAAUAAUAAUAACAUGGUUAGAUUAGUACCUGCGAGGAUGGAGAGUGGCAGAGGAAAAUGGGUCCUUUUUUAGGAUUCUCUCGUCCGGAGGGCAACUUCAGAAAAGGGCUUCUUGAUGCCCGAGUGAGAGAAGGGGCAACUUCAGGUGAGAGAAGUGGGUGGCCCAUAAAAAAAAAGAAAAAAAAAAAAGAAACAAAUCAUGAGAACAAUUUUUCUCUCUUUCGAAUAUCAUUAUUUACUUUUAUGGGGGAUUUGAACCUUGAAUUAGGUUCCCUGGCUACCAAUGAACCAUAUGAUGCUCUUUGAUAAUAUAUAUUCAAUUUAAAUUUGUUUAAGGUUCAUCAUUAAAAAAAACUUAAUUUUAAUUAUUUUAUUUUAAAAUAUAUUUAAUUGAUUAAUAAAAAUAUAAAAAUUAAUAUUAUAAUUUUUU
rnacentral:lncRNA from 1 species